UUGCAUUCCAAAUUCCUGUUAAUUUACGAGGGAAAAAGAAAAGAGACGAAAUGGGAGAAAAUGGUCAAAUUUGUUAGGGGGAGAGAGCUGUUGAAGUAGUUUUUGUUCUCGUUUAUCGUCGUGACCCUCUUGUCGCUUAUCUACGACCUGGAAGUCUGGUCAUAUCGGAUGGGUAAAGUUACCGAAACGGCAUCAUUUUGGGUGAAAUAUCAUAUUUAUGUAACACUUUUGAUAAUAUUUUUAUGCAACAAAAAAAUGUUUGCAGUACCCUUUUCACAUUGUGAAGCGCAUGAUCGGAUGAGAGCAGUCUGGAUUCUGGCAUCACAAGCUAAUGCUUUUUUUUUUUUUUGAUUACAUGAGACUAUUGCUCAUAUUACAGCUCAUAUUACAUGAGAAUAUAACUGAUAUGUACAAAUCAGCUAUAACUGGGACCAACAUACAUCAAAGCUAAUGGAGCGCUGUCCAGAUUUUAACCCUCUCAAAUAUUCGAGGGAUGUCUACUCCUCGCACUGGGACAAGGAAGCAGACUGUCUUCACUCAAUUUUAUUUGAGGAAGGAAACACCCCCACAUGCAUUGUGGGGGUUCGAACUGCUGCUCUCCAACUGCUCUCCAACUUGGAGAGCAGCAGCUCUCACCACUCGGCCAAAGGCCGAGUGGCUCACAAGCUAAUGCUUUGAUUUGCUUAGUUUGUUUUUUGUUUCUGAUAUUUUCUCGGCAUCGGGUGGGAAAUUGUUUCUCUUUUGAGUUUCUCUUUUUUUUUUUUUUUUUUUGGUUAUGGAAUUUGGAGAUAGUGUAAAUGUACGCAGAUGAAAUUGUUGGGUUGGUUUUGUUAUGGAAUUUGGUUUACUUCACUAACCAUUAAUGCGCAAAACCUCCUAAUGACCCUCAAAAAUCCCGUACAUAAUUAAAGAAUUUCAAUUUUAUAUGUACAUAAAUAAAUAACUCUCAAAUAUAUUAUUUGAUAAUCCCAAAAACAACAAUUCACUCUAAUAAAUCUCGUAGUCAAUACAUGGUCUAUAUUGCAAGUGUUUUCGAGACUAAUUGAAAAAGAAAAUACGUUGAGUGAUGUAAUUGACCUUUACUAGUUAUAAAGAACUCUAAAUAAAUUCAUAUAGGCAUAGCAGCUAAUUACAGCCUUGAUACUUCAUUUGGUUUUUGUUAAUUUUCUAUAGAGUUGUGCUGUGCAUAAAAGUUUUGUUAAAUGAAAUCGGUAGGUGAGAAUUAAUUAAUCAAUUAAUUAAGAUCCAGUUAAUGUAAUUAAUUUUAUUUGAUUUUUUUAAUUCGAGUUCUAAAUUAAUCAAUGAAUUUAGAUUCAUGUGAAAUUGAAGUGAAUUAGUUUUGAUCUGUUUUUCGUCCUAUGUUUGUCUGUGUUUACUCUUACUUUGUUUUUUUGUUUAAAUUUUUGUUUUCUUAUUGUUUACUGAAUAAAUUUCUGAGCUUUAUUUGAGUAUGAUGAUUGAUUUGUGAUUUUAAUCUAAAUGUGUUGGGCUGCGAUUUAAUUGAGUGAUGUGUGAGCGCCAAAUAUUCAAUAACUGAUAAAUUAUAUUUAUAAAUAUUAAUAGCGAUGGCACAUAAACAAUUAAUUCAAGAACUUGCCCAUAGUGAUUAAUUUAAAGAGUAUAAGUAACAUUGCAAUGCAGUUAGCCCUUGCGUGUUUAAUUAGCAAUUGAAAACUAAUGUUGCUGAUGAGGUAGAACAUUAUAACACUGUUGCUGAUGAGGCAGCUGGUAAUUCUUCUGGUGAAGAUAUUAAGACUAUUAAAGCUGAAAUGUAAUUAGAGAAAUAUAAUGCAUUCCCUUAGUUUGCUUUUUGUUUUUUAUAUUUGUUUGGCUAAUGCUUUGCUUAGAUUACUUUUUGUUUUUGAGAUUUUAUUGGCUUAGUCAUGGGGUAUUGUUUUCUCUUCUAAUUUCUAUUUUUGUUGUUAUGGGAUUUGAUUGUAGUGUACAUAUACGAAAAUUAUGUAAUCAAAUGCUUUCAAUAAAUCAUGAUUGAUUUACUAUUAAUUAAUUAAAUUAAAUUUACUCAAAUUACUCAUGUACACAAUCAAAAUAAUUUUAAUUCCAUGAUAUAUAUACACGCGAGCACACAAACAAAAUGUAAUUAACUUUGAAAUAUAAAAUAUUUAAAAUAAUCACCGUACUAACAAUUCACAAAUCGGAUUUUAUAUAAAUAGACGAAAUAAUGUUAAUCUAGCGAAUCCAGUCAUAAUAAUUUGAUUUUCAUUUAUAUUAAUUAUGUCAAACCAUGCUAUUUUAAUAAAUAGCACUUGAGAAUAUAUAUAUCCAACAAGUAAAAUUUCAAAACAAUAUUUGCCAAAAUCUAAUGAAGAGAAUAUACACGCACGCACAUAUAUAACCGUACAGCAGAACGAUAAAUAAAAGAAAAUGAAGUUUCAACGGCUGAAUAAUGCAAAUUCAUUUUUUUUAACAAGCAUUUUAUUGUUUAAUUAAAAAAAUUUGAAAACCCAUUAAAUACAUGUAAGGACUCACUGAUGCCGAACCAUAUUAAUUUAAAUUAGUUUUCAAUUGAGAUUUGAAUUUUAAAAUUACACACACAAACACACCCGAUUUAAAAAUAAUAAUAAUAAUGCUAACAAUAAAAUAUUUCAGCCGUCCUAUGUGUUAAUCGCCAAAAACGGAUUUCCAAUCUAUUACAACAUGAGGUAUAUGAGUUAACAAGUCCCAAUAUUGUCCUCCAUCCUUUCUGCACUUCUCUGCUAUCAACGGACAUCCUGCGAUCUGUAAUUGCAAAAGUGAGGAAGGCAGGCCCUUCUCCGGAAAGUAUUUGAGCUUGGGACAAUUAUGGAGUCGCAAUGCAGUGAGGUUUUGAAGAUCAACAAUUGAAGAAGAUAGGCGUUCCAGAUUUGGAAAAUUGAAAAUCUCCAGAGACGUUAGAGAGGCAGGAAUAGGAAGCGCGGUCCCUAAUCUUUUGUCCUCUAGUGGAAAUGACACCAUGUCCUCAUCACAUCCACUGAUUAAAAGAUAUCGCAGAGAGGAGAAUCUGUGAAAUCCCCGUCCCCGCUCAAUCAUUGACUUCCAAAUCUCCAUAUUACCCCAAAUAUUAAGUGACUGAAGGUUGGUGGGAAGGCCAUCUUCUUCUUCAAGGCUUGGAAGCACACCUCCUUUUCCUGCUGUUAAUUCUUGAAGAGAGCUCAGAUUGUGCAUUCCCUUGGGUAAGGCCUCUAGUCUCUUACAAUUAGAUAUCGCCAGCCUCCUGAGUUUCGCACAAGGCAAUCCCCCUUCGGGAAAGGACACCAGAUUUCCACAACUAUCUAUACUGAUUGUUUCAAGAGAUGUGUUGUUGUCCAACCUUUCUGCUAUUGACUCCAGCUUUGAACAUCCCCAAACAACGAGGGACUUAAGAGACGAAGGUAGAUUGCCAACUUCAAGGGACUCAAGCGUGGCAGGUAACUCGUUUUUUGAAAAUAUACAUGUCAGAGAUGGACAACUAAUAAUUUCUACGUGCUCGAGAAGAGAUGAGGUGUACCUUCUGCUGCUGCUGCUGCUACACAGGAUACCCUCUUCCACUGUCAAAGUCCUUAUAUUAUCGCAAUCGCUGAUGCUCAGCUGCUUGAGGCUCGGUGGCAGCUGGACAGCAGCAAUAUAUGUCAACGAACGGCAACCAUGAAUACUCAAGAUCUCGAGAGACGAAUUGGUGUCGCACAUCCAUGCCUCUGGUAACGAUUUCAGUGCAUCACAAUGCCUAAUCUGAAUUUUCUUCAACUUGGAAGGCAGAGCAACCUCAGGAAAGGAAACAAGGGAACUGCACUUGCAGAUUUCUAUCUCUCUCAAGGAACUGAGGCUGAACGAUGAUUGUGGCAGCUUCACAAGGCCUUCGCAAUUACUCAAUCUUAGAUAUUCAAGUCUGCAUGACAACUCGCAGAGCUGCUGUUGUUGGUCUUUCUUUUCCUCCGCCACCAAGGAUUGAAGUUUGGGACAGCUGUCAAUCGUCAGUCUUUUGAGAGAGUAAAUGUCUUGCAGUAAUUCGUUAUGACUCUUCCAUAUAUGUGUUUCAUUUUUAAUAUUUUUUAUCUCCAAUUCUUCCAGUUUUGGUAUUCGCGGCUUCAAUGGCCCUGCGAGAAACACUUGAUUUGAUGUAUCUCUACAAACCACUGAAUUCUGUGAGCCGAGAUGAUCAGUUGCACUACUCCACACAAUCUUUUUACAUCCACCAAUUUCAAAUUUGCAAAGAGCUGGAAGACUUGCAACUGAAACUAGCAAUUCUUCACAUCCUUCAAUUACAAGCAUCUCCAAUGCAGGAAGGUGUUCUGGAAAUGUUCCUUGCAGCUUAGAACAGCUUAUAAUAUGAAGCUCUCUCAAUUUAGGAAACCCUUCAACUCCCUGACCAGAUCUAAGAGGAAUCCAGUCUUCCCAUUCUUGCAUGUCUUGAAAACGAAGAGUCUCCAAGCAUGGAAAAGGAAUCGGGGAAUCAUUCCCAUAGAACUCUGAACCCAAACUCUUUACUCUACUCAUUCCACGCACUUCAAGAUGCUUUAAAGAGGGUAGUUGCCCGACUGACGGCAGGGCAGUACACAUGCCGCAAUCUUCAAAUUUAAGUGUUACUAAAUUUGAGAAUGAGGAAUCUCCUAACCAUGUUGGAAAUUUUGUACCUCCAUAACCACAGAUACCAAAUUGUUCCAGAUUUUUAUGGGGUUUGAGCAUGUCAAGCACACCCAUUUCAGUUUCUGCCUCCCUUGAAGAUGAACCAUCGGUACUGCGUGUCCAUCGAAGCAAUAAUUCUCUAAGAUUCUCCUUUACAUCCAAUUGAGCCUCCUUCGCAUUACCAACGUCUUUUACGUUCUCCAAUUUUGAAAUUUCAAGUGCCCCACGAAGAUGCAUCAACAACUUUAGCUCUGAUAACCCCGAACCACUGUCUUUUCCCACAACAAAAUUACACAACGUCUGAAGACUAGUCAAUCUACCAAUUCCUACUGGCAUUUCCUCCAACGACUUCGUAUUUGAAUUCUUAAGAUGAUGCAAUUUGGUGAGGUUUCCCAUGUCUGCACACAACUUCUUCAGCCGAUCACAAUCUUCCAAGAAAAGACUAUGCAAAUUGUAAAGCUUGUUGACUGAUUCAGGCAGAGUUCUAAUCAUAGUUCCAGAUAGGUUGAGGUACCUUAAAUACCUCAAAUCACCAAUUGAAUCCGUUAGCUCAUACAGGCAAUAUCCACGCAAAGAGAAGACCCUCAACCGUUGGAGUUUGAACAACUUGGGGAGAAUGCUACGAGCCAAGUAUCCAUGCCACCUAUUUGACAAUGCUACUGGUAAAAAAGUUCGCAAAUGGUGGAUAUCAUGCAAGUCCUCAAACCUUUGAACGCCAUCACAAUAUCCACGAAUGUAUGACAGGUGACGAAAAUUUUUGGAAAAACUUUGUUGCUUGUUAACCUCUGAGUUAUACUCCAUUGUGAAGUAUAUCUCCCCCGCAGCCCAUUGAGCAAGGUCGUUGACAAGGUCGUGCAUCACAAAUCGUGAUUUAUUGUUGCUUGAUUGCUGGAAAAAAGAUCUUGAACGUAGCUCUUGAAAGAACUUUCGACCUAGAUCUUCAUUAGGAUUCCCACUCUCUUUGUGAUCCAAGAAACCCGAGGCACACCAUAAUAAAAUCAUCUCCUCCUCUUCAAAUUCAUAAUCCUUUGGAAACAAUGAGCAGUAUGCAAAGCAUUGUUUCAAAGGUGCCGAAAGAUAAUAGUAGCUCACUGCAAGGGCUGGUAUAAUACCACAUCUCUCUUCUGGUAAUUCCCAUAUCUUGCUACUGAGCACAUCUUCCCACUCACUUCUGUCAUGAUUCCCACGUAAAAGUCCUCCAAGCGUUUGUGCUGCCAAGGGCAAGCCAUCGCAUUUGGUCACUAUCUUCUUGCCGAUUUCCUCCAGUGACUUAUGUGAACUGAAAUCUCUCGUCCCCAAUGAAUGUUGAACGAACACAGCUAGACAAUCAUUAUCUGACAACUUCUUUAAUUGAUAAGCCGGAACAGUACCCAUAAUUUUAGCAACCUCUUGAUUGCGAGUAGUGACAAUAAUUUUACUUCCCGGUGCGCCAAGUUCAAAGGGACGUCUGAGUUGAUCCCAAUCAUGGUAAUUCCGGUUCCACACGUCAUCUAAAAGAAGUAAAAACUUCUUUCCAGAUAGUUGCUUAUUCAGUUUCUCUUGAAGUGAAUUCAAGUUGAGAUUAUCUACGUUCUGGUCAGCAACAAUGGAUGUUAAGAUUGUUUUUGUUAGCCUGAUAACGUCGAAAUCAUCAGAGACACAAGUCCAUGCCUUGAGAUCAAAAUGAUCCACCACUUGCUUAUCAUUGUAGACAAGCUGAGCAAGAGUGGUUUUGCCCAGCCCACCCAUACCUACAAUAGGUAUAACGGAGAAUCCACCAUCGUUGCUUAAAUCAUCCCUCAACAGCAGUUCAACAACAUCCUUCUUUUCGAUUUCCCUGCCAUAUACUUUGGCUUCCUUCACCAAAGAGGUUGUCUCUCGCCUUUUCCUGUCUUUUGUGGUCCUCCCACCCGAACUUACAUUCAAACCCAGCGAGUCCUUCUGUGUUACAAUAUCUUGAAAUCUGCCAUUGAUCUCUUUGAUUUUGGACAUCAUGGCGUAAUCGAACUGAAUCGAUUGUGGAGUAAAAGUGGUGCAGCAAGUAGGAAUGAGCUUCCGAAACUUACUUGUUCUUGUACGACUGCAACUGGGUUGAUCAUGAGCCGCAGCUGGAUCUCCAUUUCCAAGCAGCAACUUCCUCCGGAAAGCCUCAGUUUGAAACUCAUCCAGCAAGUCUUCAACAUCAAAAGCCAAGUUCUGAAGCUCGCCAAGCCACAACUUUACAGACUGAUCAGUCUUCUUCUCCUCAGCAUCAGCAAGCACCGCCUUGAUUAUCAUCAACAUAUUCUUCCACUUCUUUAGGUCGGCUUGGAUUUGCUCUUGGCGUGCAAACAGCCGAAUCCCCUCCGAAGCUAACUUAUUGACCAGCAAAUCAACGGACGCCGUAAGAAUUGCCUCUCCGAUGAAUGACAUUUUUUUCUUCUUUUUCUUUUUUUUUGGUUUUGCAAAGAAAGAAAGGAGCAGAAUUAUGGGUUAUGGAAAGCAGAAUGAGAAAAUGGAUAAUUAAGCAGAAUGAGUUUGUGAUUGUGAAGGGUCUGGCCCAGCAAGCUUAGUAGAAAUCACGCGUUGAUACUUUAUUGACCAAUGACUAAUAAUUUGGCAAUUCACUCAUCACCACCACUUGGUAAGCAAAAUGAAAAUGCUUAGUAAUUAAGUGUCAAGGGUCAAGCAAAAUACGACGUAAAAUGUGUCAAGGGUCUCCCCACUUGUUGUUCCUUGCAGCUUAGAAAAGAAAAACAGAGCCCACGACCCAUUAAUAUUUAGCCGCCCACCAAUCAUCACCACUUGUUACGAAACCAUCUCAUAAACCAAGUUCGUAGGUCGAGCAGUUAAUCCAGUGUCUAUGUCCUAGAACCUUCAUCUCAUAAACCAAGUUCAAUCAAAACGUUCCUCUCUAUAUAUUUUUUUUUUCAAAACUCCUAAAACGUUUCUUUUUAGAGACAUUUUACUUUAUUCAUCUCAUAUGUUAUCUAACAAAUAGACACAAUUGAAAUCACUCUAAAGUGAAGAUGAAAGGGGAAACAAAUAACCUUCCGACCACCAGUAAUUUAGCAAGCUUCACUUUAUUCCACCAAAGUGUAAAUAAAGCCAGCCCCCACCACCAUCAAUAAUUUUGCAAGCUUCACACGCUUGUUGUCUUCUCCUUGACGAACUGGACAUGAGUGCACCAAGAAUCAAUGACAGAAUUUUAAAAAUAAUAAUAAGAGAAAAACCUACACAUUUUCGACUUAGAGUAGAACCUUAAUUAAUGCUAAAAUCUACUCAGCUAACAUUUUCAAAAUAUUGUUCUUUAUGAUUUUCAAAACUGUGAUUAAGGUUCAUCUCAAAUGUUUGAAGAGAGUCUAUCAGUUCUUCAAAUGUUGAAUAAUAAAAAAAAAAGUUGAAUAUGGAGGAAAAUAGAAUGCAUCCAUCUUCGCUGCUGUAGAAGUCUUCUACUUAUAAAAGUAAGUUAGAAUAAACAAUUUUAAUCUCUCUUUUUAUUCCUACAAGUGCACUACAUUUUUUUUUUAAUCUCAAUGCAAAGUCGUAUCGAAAUGUUAUAUUCCUAUUGUAAAACAAAAUUUUAGAUAAAACAAAUUCGACUCAUUUUUUAAAGAUAUAUAUUUAGUAGGUUACCAACAUAACUAACAAAACGUGAUUAUUACACUAAAUGAAAUAAAUGACAGUACUAUCACCAAUAAUUUAGCAAGUUUCGCAUGCAUGUGUUUCUAAACACAUUAUAUGGAAUCAAACAACAGUGAUACAAAGAGAAAAGUAGAAAUCCUCUGAUUAUAUUUUUUUUUUCUUUUUCAAAAGAAAUGGUGGGGUUGGUUUGUUUGCAAAGUUAUUAGCGAGGGUCUAUUUGUUUUUGUUUUAACUUUAUUAAUCAAUAAGCAAACAUGUAAUUAUUUGUAUAUAUCACUAGCAUCACAUUAUUGUGAGGUAUUGCGCUUAAUAUUCACAAUUUUUGUAAGAUGAAUUUGUAAGACUAAUUAAUUUUGAUGAAAAUGUAUCGUUACUAAGAUAUUAUUUAAUUCAUUAAGUUAACUUGAGGUAUUAAUAUUUACUAAUUGUGGUGCUGAUUAAUUUAUUUAACUUGUCACUAUUUGCAAUUAAGAAUGAAGUUCAAUCAAUUUAUUGAGUAAAAAAAAAACAAAGAUGCAUUUUUUUCUUUAGAUUUUAAUUCUUAGGAUUUGAUUUCACGCUCUUUUGUUUUUUUACGUUGCUAAAGAGGCAGUAAAAAGUUUGCUGAAUGUCAUCAAAUACUUGUAUCUCAUCUCACAAAUUGGUAAUAUUUGUUUGGUAUUUCAUCUCAACAGACGCAGUAAGGAUUACCUCUCCAAUGACUGACAUUUUUUUUUUUUUUGGGGACAAAGAAAGAAACAGAAUUUUGAGUUUCGAAAAGCAAAAUAAGAAAAUUGAGCAGUAAGUGUGAAGGGUCAAGCAAAAUGCAUGUAGCAAGUCUUCGACUUGUUGUUUAUCCCACUAAAGUGAAAAUAAAAACAGAGCCCACGACCCCUUAAUAAUUGAGCAAUUCACCAAUCACCAGUCACCACCACUCGUUACCAUGAAUAUAAUAAAUUGCACCUUGAUAUUUGCAGGGUCCAGCAACAUUGACCUAGUGUCCGGGUAAAUGCUGAAUAAAGAGGAAAAUGGAAUGUAUCCACUCCGAACCUUCGCUUUACAACAAUUUUUAAGAAUCACAAUGGUAAUUCCUACUAUCAUGUUAUCUUAAUGUCGUGUUAAAAUAAAUUAUAAUAUAUUUUUUAUAUGAACACUCUUUUCAUUUAUAAAUUUUUAAGUUUCUAAUAUUUUUCUCACUUUUUUAAUCUUAAUAUUUAUAUUCCUCUCUUCAAAUUUUUUUAUUAUUUAAUUUUUAAAGAAAAAUAUGAAAAAAAUAAGAAAAACAUUAUACUUAGAAAAUAAUUAAUAUUUUAUGGGUCUAAUGCAAUUUUGUCUCACCUAUAAAUUUUUUUGUUUAGCAAUUAGUUUGAGAAUCUUAAAAAAUUAUUUGCAGUAGGAUAAAAUUUUAUUUAAUUUAUUUUUUUACUGUAUUGUAUCUUAAUUAAUUAAGUUGUUAUGUUUAUUACAAGAAUUUUGUUUUGGCUUAGAGGAUUGCUUCUUAAAUUCAUAUUAUUUUAAUGAUAAUAAAAGAUAUUUAUAUUGUGCAAGCAAAAUAAAAUGAAGAGAGAAAGAAAAUAUAAAUGAUUUAAUUCUAUUUAUAUUUGUCCUCAAAUGUAAUUGUAGUAUAAUAGGAGUUUUAUAAGAUUAAUGAAGGGGUGCCAAUAGUCGUACUCUUAUAGAAAAUGACUGUAAUAAUAGUGGAAAUUUAGUGUAAUAAAAAGGAUAAACCGUAAGAAAUUAAUGUUUACUUCAAGAUACGUUAUAAAUAUUGUUUUUCUUAAGAUGUUAUUUGCCUCCACCAAUCGAAUGAUGCACAUGAAUUAAGCAAAUAUGCUUCCAUGAUACAAUAAAGCGCUUAUUUAUUUGUUUACGUUGUAUGUCGACGAAGCAAACUUAAAUACUUUUGAAUGUUGUAAACCUACCAAGAAUCAAUAUAUUAUUUCUACAAAAAGAAACAAUAUAUUAGAUAUUUAAAGCAUAAAAAAUAGACGUUAAUUGAUUAAAUUUGAUUUAGCAAAGACACCUAAGAAAAGAGGGGGGUAACGCCAUUUUUUUGGUGUUUAAAUAGUCUAAAUAUGCCCCCUUUUUGUCCAUCCCCUUUUCCCCUUUUAUUGGGAUUAUUUUUUUUUUUAUAAUCUCCACCCCUUCAUGGUUAUUAGACCAACCAAUUAAAUCCCUCCUAAAGCUACUUAACUUUUUGCCCCCCAACUUAAAGGAUCCCAUAGGGAUUGCUUUUCGGAUGUUUGCCUUUUUUUUUUUCACUUUUUUAUAUUUUUUUUGGGGGUGUUGGGGGGGGGGGGGGGGGGGGGAGUUUAUGAAAAUUAAAGCAAAUAAGAAAGUCAAUUACAGCAGAAUGAGUUUGUGAUUGUGAAAGGUCGAGCAAGUCUACAAAUCAAUUAGACAAAACCCACCACGAGAGUUAAAAUGGAAAAAUAGCGCCCACCACAAAUAUAAAAUUGGAGGAGCUCAAGAUCCUGCCUUUGCUUUACAUAUUAAAUUAAAUAAAAGCCAAACCAAUAACCUUGCCUUUGCUUAACAUGAUUAAUUAAGCACUACUUCAGAAAGAAUACAAAAGUAAUGAACCUUGUAUUAAUCUUAAAUUUUAGGAAUAAAGCUACAUUUUCUCCUCUUACCAUCUUUUCAUGUUCAUUUCAAAAGUUUGAAGAGAGUUUAUCCAUUCUUCUUCUAAACUAAGAAAAUCAACAUUCUUACUUUCUUCAAAUGUUGAAUAAAGAAAAAUAAAUUAUUGAAUAAGGAGGAAAUUAGAAUGUAUUUACCUUCGCUAACCUAAAAUAAAAAAAAUUAAUCUCUCUUUUAUUACUAAAGUACACUAUUUUUUUAAUAAUUGUAUUGAUAAUGACAAUAUAUAUCAUCGAUUAUAUUCUUGUUGUGUUGAAAUAAGGUAUAAAAAUUUUUGGAUCAACAGGAAUUCGACUCAUUUGUUAAAAGUACAUAUUUAAUAUACUAAAAACAAAAAUUAACAUAAACAUGAUUAUUACACUAAAGUGAAAUGAAAGCCAGUACCCGCCGGUUCACCAACAGUAAUUUAGCAAACUUUGCAUUCUAGGAAAUGGACAUUGGUGAAUUAACCAAAGAAGACUUCCUUUGAUAAUGCGGGUAACGCCGGUCUGUCAUGGAAUGGACAUUGGUGAAUUCGACUUCCUUUGACGUUUAGUUGACUAUUUUCACAUCUAGCAGCCCUUGGCGUUUUGUUUUCGUUCGCUCUGUCGUCUUCAUCGCUCUGUCGUCUUCGAUCUUUAUGGCGACAUGGGUAUAUGUGUAUGGUAAACUGUGCGGGUGAAGAGUGUCGACAUGAUGCUGUCACCUUGCUUUAAUUAAUUGCAGUGACGUUAUAAAGUAAGCCUCAAAAAUUUAAAAUCGUGGGUCAAGCCCUGGUGUACAAAUCAGAAGUUGUAACAAAGAAGAAUUUAAAAUUUUUCUUCUUUGUUUCUUUCAUGCAUUAGGCUCGUUAACAAUUCAACAUACCAGGGAUGAGGGAUGCAAGGAAACAAUUAUUUGGUUUGAGUGUUUGGUAUUUUCUCGAUUCGUUCAGAAUUUGAUGAGUUUUUCUGUUUAAAUUGUGCGUAUAAUUUUUAUUUUUAAUUUUCUGACGUCGAUAUCUUUAGCAUAGAUUUUGUCUAUGAUACAUUAAAAAAGUUUGAAUCGCACAUGAUUCACUGUGUUGUAAGAGUAAAAUUUCUUCUUAUUAUUUAGAAUUCAUAUUUUUCAACUAAACUUUUAAUACAAUAUAUCGAGACAGAUCCUCGUGAUGCACAUACAUUUUCGCUUUUAGCCGUGCUGCCUGCUCUCAAAUGUACACUUAUAAAUUCCAAAUGAAAAGAAAUUUUGAAAUUGCGCAGCUCUGGCCAGGGAUCACCUUUUUGCCUUGCUAUUAUCUACAAUAUUUAUUUUUGCAAUCCGCAUGCAUGCUCGGUUAUGAUCACCCACGUGAUCGGCAUUAAGUUGUUUUUUAUCUUCUUAUUAACAAAUUAUUUAGUGUGCGGACUCCAUUCAUGCUCCCACGUUAAUCUUUCCAAAUUUUGUGCAAUAAAAGUUCAGCCGAUCCGCUAUUCACUUUGCCACAGUCUGCUACUUCAUUCUAUUUGUUUACUGCAUAUGAUCAUUANNNNNNNNNNNNNNNNNNNNNNNNNNNNNNNNNNNNNNNNNNNNNNNNNNNNNNNNNNNNNNNNNNNNNNNNNNNNNNNNNNNNNNNNNNNNNNNNNNNNAGAAUUUAUGAUUUUCUAUUAAGAUCUGUAAUAACCCUUUCUUAAUUUUCAAUUGUCCUUAUGAGUAUAUGUCAAUUUGGAUUAUUAUUCCACAUAUACAUAAUGUAUAAAGAAAAGAGUAAUGAUACUGCCACAAACUCUUGUACAAAUUUAUUUUGUACAAACUGACGUGUCAUUAAUUCACUGGUUGAAUGAAAAUAUAAAUUAAUAAAAACAAAUUAUGUGGGCUAAGUGAUAUUUAAUUCAACCAAUCUUAUCAUGCCUCAUCAAUUUGUACAAAAUAAGUUUAUACAAGAGUUUGUGACUGUAUCAUUACUCUAAAGAAAAUUAUUGGCAUAGAAAUUUUUUGCACAAAAAAAAAAAUCCAAGAUGUUUUUGACUGUUGGCGGCACAAUACAUAAAGGUGAAAUUAGGUUAUCGUUUGGAUUUUUUCAUGAGACACCCUAAGGUUUGUUUAGUUUAUGCUUUUGGCCAAAGUUUAUAAUUUUGUUUCAUUUAAGUCCAAUUGAAUUUGCAACGGCCAUCACAUGCUGUCUUCAAGCCGAAAUUUAGGAGCAAUUGCAUGUGAAAUUGCAGUGUAGUCCCUGGUAUUCUAUUUUAUUAAAUUAAAGAUAUGAUUAAUUGGAUUUACUAUGAUAAAGCCGCCAACUUUAUGUGCAUCAAGCCUUAUAAGUUUUGUUCUCGUAAUUUUGAAGCCUCCGCUCAUUAAUUAAUGAUCUCCAAAAUUUCUUAAUGUUCCAAUUUUAAUGUUUGAAAUUUGAAUUGAUGUUUGUGGUUUUAUUUACUUUAUUAAAGAAAUUACUUUGUUAUAAAUGUUCAAUUUGACAUUCAUAUUAUGAUAAUUUGUUAGUUACUAAAGUAGCCAAAUUAGAAAGUUUUCAUAGAUGUCAAAUUAAAUUCAAUUUCAAGUUCUCAUAAUUAUUGUGAUGCGUAUUAUUUAAUGACAUGAUGAUCUUGUUGUAUGAGUAUAUUGAAAUUCACAGAUUAUAAAAUAUUUAGGAAUUGGUCAAAGGUUGAUUAAUUAAUUUUAUAAUAUAUGAUCAUGAUUUGUGGAUAAUUAAUAUGCUUGAUUAGAUAUGUUUAGUAUAUCCAAAGAUAGCAAGCGUGUCUAGUUUAUGUAUAGUUGAUUACUAAUUAUGUGAAAUUAAAGUUAAGCAUCAAUUAUGUUUAUUGCAGUGUAUUGUUGUAUCACCAAAUAAAUUAAGCUUCUUAAUUUUAUGUCAGUAAGUAUUAAUAAAUUAAUAUAGGUAACAUUAAAUAAUUUAAAUUAGCUGUAGAAAAUUUUAAAAUAUUUUAUUCAUAAUAAAAAAUUAGCGAUAUUAUAUCAUGAAUUAAUUAAUAUGUAAAUUAUUUAUUUAUCAAAAUCAUUUUCAUUUAAUUAAAUAUUAAUUGAGGUUUAAUUAUUAGUUAUCAAUAAAAAUUAACAUGGUAUUGUCUUUUUUAUGGUCCUGGCCCCCAUCUCCAAAUUAGAAGCAAUUCUCAAACCCGCCCCAUACCUAAAAGUUCACAUUUGGGGAGCAUCCCCAAUUUUGUGUAUGUAUAUAUGAUUUGGUGAGUUACAAGAAGCAUUACCAGCAAAAGCACAGAAAUGGUUUCGUUUCAGAAGCAAAUAUGAUGCUAAGGAAAGUUUCGUCUUCAGCAUAAUAACUAUAUAAUAUCAUAAUGAAUUGGUGUGCAUUAACCAUGCUCCAGGUUGAUUUGGAAAGUCAUGAUGCUGUUUCCAUUUCAAUUUAGACUCCUUGCUUAUCAGCCAAAUGAUUUAUAAGUAAUAGCCAGUAGAAGUUUUUCUCAAAAUGGAAAUAAGUUGUCUUACUGGGAGAGUCCACAUAUGGUAUCUAAUUUGUGGUGUUAUUAUUUCAAUUGUAAGUUCCCUAAUUCUGGCCAAUGCACAGAUUCAGAAAGUUAUAUUUGGUGAGUUUUUUUUUUUUUAAAGGUUUUGGAUACAACGGCAAGAGAUAGGGAAAAACAACAAAGGGAGAGUCAAAACUCCACAUUAAGCUAACAUUUGAAUUUCCAUUUAUACUUUGCUCCACUCAUUCUAAUGUUUACUGGCUAAUUGUAGUUUAUGGUGUAGCAUCCAAAAAAGAUGACUCAUAGAAUUUAUUCUUUCGGACCACUAAGUAGCUUAAACACACACACACACACACACACACACAAACACAUGUACAUAUGAAUGUGUGUGUAUGUAUAUGUAUAUAUAUAUGUAUGUGCGUAUAUAUAAUCCUUCCCUAAUAUAGACAUCUCUUUUCUUUUUUUUUCUACAUAGACACACUAUCACUAGUAGAAAAAUAGCCUUCUAUGAUACUAUUUUGGUAUCGGCAGCUUGUUUUAUUAACACCGAGUUUAGUGUCAUUAAUCACGGUGCAAGAAAUUUACUGACACAAAUUUUUUGUGUCAACAAUUCUGUGUUACCUUAGAAUCAAAGAAAUGCUGAUUCCAUAGUAUCAAAAUAAUUGCAAUUCUAUACAAUCAUGUAGAUAGUGAUUCUAUGGUAUGAAGCAAGUUUUGAUGCUCUAAUGUCAUUUAUGUUCUGAUUCAAUAAUAUUGGUAUUUACCAAUGCUAUAUUGGUGUCAGCAGUUUUAAAAGUAUUUAAAAAAAAUAAUGAAAUGGUCAUUAUUACAAUUGUCAAUAAGCUGGAAUCAAAACUUAAUAAUCAACAGUUUUGAACAAUGAUUAUGAAACAAAUGUUGGUAUCAAAAUCCAAUAAACUCCAUUUAACAAUUGCCAAUAGGCUCCAUUCAGUAUUCAAUAUUCAACUUUCAACAUUGAAUAACCAAAUUGGUUCUAUCCAAUAUUCAGUAACCAAAUUCAUCAACCACAGUUUCAAUAGCACAACAAUGCUAAAAACCACAGCUAGUUUCUAAUCUAAAAAAACUACAACUUAUUUGUCAUUACGGCAACCUGAGUGGCAGUACUAAACAAUAAAGGCAAAUGGAAUUGGUGUGCUACCGCUAUCAUUCUCCAUGAUCUUCAAUGGCGUGAAUAAUAGUACCAACAACAAGCAACGACAAUACUCAAUUCCAACAAAAUCCACCCAACAAAGGAAAAUGGUUCAUCAAAGUUUGAAAACCACAAAUUUGUUUUACUACACCACUGAGACUAUUCUUGAAACCUGGAAGUAGUUCCUACAUAUAAAACGAAAUCAAGAGUAGGCUCCAACUAAAAAAGGCUUCAACAACAGAGAAAGAAGUUCACUAUACAUACAGAUCAAAGUUAGAACUUUAGCCAACCUGUGGCUUCCUUGCAGUAAUAGAGCAAUCAUGAUCAAAAUGAUUCAAAUGGCCUUUGACAGCUGAGCACCCAUUUAAAGGCAGCAGUGGUUUCUUACGGGAUUUUGAAAGUUUUUGAGUUGUUUCUUCCAUGGGUGUUACAUUUUCAGUGGAAUUAUCCAGUUUCUCUCCUUCAGAAUUCGUACAUGAUGAAUACAUCCGCACAAUGUUAUAUACAUAUGACCACAUGUAGAUGGCUUCAAUCUGAAAUAUCAAUAAUAAUGAAAAAUCAAAAUAUUGAAAAAGAUCCCAAAUUAGUUUGCCUGAGAUGACUAAGGAACAUUCUUAAUAUGAUCCAUCCAAAUACACCAUAAAAAUUAUCCAAAACUAUUCAUAGAAGUAAAGCAAAGAAUUGAAUUGAGUUUAUUCUUAAUCCAUUUCAUUAAAAAAUACUGCUACUUCAGCAAGCAAACCAUUGGUUAAGAUUAUAAGGCAACAAAGGAACAUUUAUAACAUUUUUGCUCACCUAUCUUCAUUUGACUCAAAUAGAAAGAAGGAGAGCGAGAGAGGGAAAAGAACCUGCAGCACAGCAUCCUAAAACAAGGCCCCACAAAUCAUAAGGAGCUUUUGUAGUUUUUAGAACUAUCCAUCCAAGUGCUGAGCCAACGAUGAAUGUAACAAGGAUAUUUAACGGCAUAAACCACCUACAUAGUUUUAUUUUAUUUAUGAAAGCUACUUUCAAUGAAUUGACGGAAGAAAACGAGAAAACAUGGUAAGAAGACCAAAAGAAUAAUUAAAAAAAUAGAAGAAACUGCACAGGUUUCGUAAAGAAUGCAAACUCACAACAUGCCCAUGCCUUCAGCUGUCAUGUGCUCUGCAAGACUGCUACCAAUAAGUGCUGGAUUGCAGAAGUAAAACACAACCUGUACAACAUUAAAAGAACCAAAUCCUUUAACAGCUUGGCAGGCUUUAGUAAAUUUUUUUUUGAAGAAAAAAUAUAACAUCAUUUGAAUUUUUUUUACAGUUAAAUUGCAGUGAAAAUUACCUUGUUCAAAUGCUGGCGUACAAGUCCCCCAAUAUAUCUAUCCGAUCUAGUGCAAGAAAUAAGCCAAGAGCAGUAAGCAGAAGUACCUUUAAAACUGGUAUAAAUGCAGCAAUAAAGAGGUCCAGAAUCUUCAUAGUGGGGUCUUUAAGUCCUCAGAUUAUCUAUAGUACUUGCUGCAGAGGAAAAGGCAUGAUAUGCUACCACAUGAGCAAUAGCUUUUAUAGAAACAAGCCUAAAAUUACUUUAAAAAUCAAUUUAACAUUGUUCGUAAUAGCAAUUUUACCCAUUAAAAACCGAUCUUCAAGCAAGUUUGUAUUUUUCACCACAAAAAUUAAAUCUAGACAAAUGACCUAAAAUAAAAUUUUUCUAAAGCACAUUUCAUAUUUCAUUAAAUUACAAAAAAGGAUUGCGUAUGACUUGAGAGGAAAUUCUGAUUGAUUCACAGUUUUAGCAUAAUAAGAAUACAGAUCACAAAUUAAAAUCCCAGACAACAUACGUGCAAAAUCUUUUUCUUUUUCUUUAUUGGGAAAUUAUCAUUCGUAUACCCUAUAUUUGCUUUGUUAUAAAAAAUACUACAACACUUUGAGGGUGUAUCAAUCCUCCACCCUUAGUUGACAAAAUGUAUUAGCUGACCACCAAACCGUUAGUUGAUGUUUAAAAGUUAACGGAAUUACAAUGAAUUGACGAUUUUACCCUUGAAAAUUAUCACUUGUAUACCCUUAAAUUCUAUAUUUAUCACUUGUAUACCCUUAAAUUAUCACUUGUAUCAUAUGAAAAGACUAAAUUACCCUUCUGACAUCAUCAUACUUAAACGGCAACUAACAGUUUGGUGGUCAGCUGAUACAUUUUGUCAACUUAGGGUGGACGAUUGAUACACCCUCAAAGUGUUGUAGUAUUUUUGAUAAUUGAGUAAACUAAGGGUAUAUAAAUGAUAAUUUCUCUUCUUUAUUAAAAAAAAUACCAGCCAAAAGGAAAGAAAAGGAAAAAAAAAAAAAACAAAUAUAGUUAGGUGGAUAGAUAACGAGGAAGGAGUAAAUAAAUUAUUGCUUGGUUAGAUAUCAUCUCAUAGUAACGAAUGAAAAGCAGAGAUAAGAACAGAUGAACCUCGUCUCUCCACCAGUGGCUUGGGGUCUUGGGGCCCAUCACGCGUGGGAGAGGAUUUCAGUUGGAGGAAGAAGGCGGAGCAUCGGGUGGCAACCUGAAAAGCUGGUGGAGGUAAAGGGAGUGAAGGAGACGGGAGCCACCGACACCGAGAGCUAGAACCACGGAUCUGAGCUCUUGGGUAGCACACCCAAAGUUAGCGAAUUGGUGGAUGCAUGUCUACUCUCAAAGGCGCUCGUCUUGAGCCGUCUUGUGCCAUAUCUUGUUGACGCAGGCUGCCCGUGCCAAGGUCCCGCCGUCCGUGUGUUUCAACUUUCAACACCUCGAACAGGAAGUUCUCAUCUAGAUUUGUAAGGCCAGUUUCUUUGGGAGGCUGAGAGUUUCUGUUUUGUUAAGACUUAAGAGGCUGAGAUAGCAAGAUAAAAACAAAUAAGAUUAUAAUUAAAUUAAACGUGAGAAAUUACUUUUCUAGCAAAAGCUUAAUCCAACGCCUCCAUUACUUCUUUUUUAUGGAUAUAUUCUUUAAUUAUUUUUCGUUAUUUUACUUCCUGUUCAUCAAGUUUGCGAUGUUUACAACAAUUAUUCAUUUGAAAAGUUAUCCAAUAAUGUUAAUACGUGAAAAUUGAGAAUAUGUAUAGCGAAAAAAAUUUCUUCAAAAAUGAAUUAUAUAAUCUUGACUUUGGAAAAUGUGGCCAGAACUGCAAAAAUGAAGAUUAAUUAACCUUGGAUGACAAUGAUUAAUACCCGUCCAUUUCUCCUAAGCUCUGUUUCUUACUUUGAUGCGCACAUGACUUGACAGCUUCAUCUUCCUCUAGCUUCCUUUCGUGAAACGUACUAACAAUUAACAGUAGUCUACUAACAAAUUAAGAUAUAAUCCAAUAUCUUUAGUACAAAUUCAAAUAGUCUCAUUUUGACUUUGAGCAAGCUUUUUAAUUCCACACUCAGAAACAAAAUUUUGUGAAUUCACAUUAUUUAGCAAAAUAAUUAACAAAUUAAUUGUGAUUAUGGUUGACGAUCAUGUUGAUAAGCAUCAUAUACACUAUCGUUGCAUAUUUAGUGAAAUGAUGCAAGGACGAAGUAUCACUUGGCUGUAAGAAUUAGUUACCCAACAAUUUGUGGAGUUUGUUUUAGAUAAAAUAAAUAAAUAAAUAAUAGAGAGCAUAAUUAAGCCGACAUGGAUAGACUAACUUAAACAAUAUAUUGAACACAAUUAUUAUUUUUAUUAACUUCCUUUUUCAAGAAGACACUGUACACAAAAGUAAAUUAAAACAAAAAUCUCUUGUACAGUUCAAGAGAUUUUAUAAGUUGAACUGAGCCAAAUAAAGACAUUCACACAAUUGAUAGAUAAUGAUUGAAAAAAUAUUAUGCUCAAAAUAUUUUCUUUGUAUGUCAAAGAACGAGAGAGUUACAAGCUUAUAUACAACUAUUAAGGUCAGCCAAAUCUCUUAGAGUAAUGGCUAGACAGGCUGUCCUAUUUAUGACUACAUACAUUAAGGAAUGAAAUCAUUUGUACAUAAGGAAUAUUAAUAUUAUCAAGUGAUACUUGCUCAAAAUAAAGAUUGUGUCUAGAAUAAGGGAUUGCCGAUGCCAAAUCUUGCCGCUAAUAAUAUUCGGUGAGCUGUAGCUACUGAUUGUAUGGUUUAUCAAUGAUAACCCAUCAUUUUAUUUAAUUAAUAUAAUACGGAAAGAGUAACUCGCACUUAAGUAGUGUAGUUGAGAUUUCUUCCGUGUUGAGGGACAAUAAAGAGAUCCAGAUUGUCGCUCAUGCUCUCAUCAUUAACAAUACUUAUAAGAGAUAUUGGAUAACCCGCAGACCACUCGACCUUCCCUAAAAAUUCACAACAACAAUUGUAUUCAUUAAUACAUAUAUUAAAAUAAAAAUUAUAAAUGACAUUCAACUGAACAUGGCCUGAGAACCUGGAUAAGGAGCUUCCAUGUUCUUCAAAUUAGAAAAGAUAUCUUCUAACUUCUGGUGAACCGUAAUCGAAAUUGAAGUUGCUUUUGUUUCUGGUUUGAUAAUAUGAUGUUGAUGUAUUUAUAUACGAGUCUUCGUAUAGUAUAGUGCUGUAUGCAAUACAGCCCCUUCAACAGUAAAAAGGAAACUUGAACAACUAGUAUUUUACCAGUUGUACAUUUAAUAAAUUUUUAAAAAUUAUUUUUAAUGCAGAAAAAAUAAAAUAAAACUGAAAAAAUUAAGGAAAUUUUGUAAAUAUUUAACACAAACAAUAUUUGAGAGAGAAAAAUAUUUUUAAUUUCAACAAAAGUUAAAAAAAUUAAAAUAAGCAUGUCUCUACUCUUUUGUUUUAAUGUCAAUAUAUUAGGUGACAUUCCAAGUUAAUUUCACAUAUACCUAAUUUUGAUUAAACUUUUUCACUAAUUGGUUUGCUUAUCUCCACUUUCGGAUCCACUAGUUUUAUGUUUAAUAUUCCUACUAAACUCGUUAAAUAUUAAUAUUUUGGGUCAAAUUCCAAUUAAAUUUAUUUCUCGUUAGACAAGUAUCAAAAUUCCGUUAAACUUUCUCCACAUUUGGUUCAUGUGUUUCAACUAUUAUUCUACUAGUUUUUCAUUUAAUAUUUCAACUCGUUUAUCAACAUUCCAAUUAUAUGGGUUAGAUAUUGAUAUUACUUUUUUUGGUUUGAUCAGUUCUAAAUUUUGGUAAUGUUUUUCCAUCCAUAGGUUCACAUGUUUCAACUUAUUGGUCCACUAAUUUUACGUUUGAUAUUUCUACUAAAUUUGUCAAGUACCAAGAUUUAUUGUUAGCUAGCUUCCAAGUAAUUAACAUUAUUCGUUGGAUAAGUUUCAAGUUUUGGUUGUUCUUUCUCUCUUAAUGGUUCACGUGUUUCCUCUAAUUUUUUCCCUAAUUUUGCGUUGAAAAUUGCCAUUAAUUGGUUGAGAUUCCAAUUACUAAGGUUAGGUACUAGGUUUGUUUUCUAUAACUUUAUUUUUUAUUUUGUAGAUCUCUAAUUUUAGUUGUGCUUUCCCCAUUUUUGGUUGACGUAUUUCAAUUGUAAUUCCACAGGUUUUGUGUUCGUUAUUCCAACUAACUUGGUAAAAUUCUAAUUAUAUGGGUUAAAUAUCAAUAUCACUUUUGCUUGGUUUGAUUAGUCUCAAGUUUUGGUUAUACUUUUUUAUCUUUUGGUUCACAUGUUUCAACUUAUUGGUCCACUGGUUUUGCGUUUCAUAUUCCUAUAAAGUUCGUUAGGUACAGUAUUAUGGGUUAGAUUCCAAGUAAAUAUCAUUUUUCGUUAAAUGAGUUUCUAAUUUUCGUCAAACUUUUUCUCUUAAUGGUUCACGUGUUUCAUCUAAUUUUUUCCCUAAUUUUGUGUUGAAUAUUCCCAUUAGCUAGUUGAGAUUCCCAUUACUGAGGUUAGGUACCAAGUUUGUUUUCUAUAACUUUAUUUUUGGUUUUGUAGUUCUCUAAUUUUGGUUGUGCUUUCUCUAUUUUUUGUUGACGUAUUUCAAUUGUAAUUCCACAAGUUUUGUGUUCGUUAUUCCAACUAACUCCACAUGUUUUGCGUUCAUUAUUAGAAUAAAAGCAACAAGUUCUAUCAAAAUUUAAGAAUGAUUACUAGCGCUUUCAUGCUCGUGGAGGUGAGAAUGGGAGACGCUUGUUGUCUUAAGUGACUAUUCUUACCCCACUAAAUUUAUAAAUUUAAUCAUUCCUUCUCUAUAUGGUGUUUCCACUCCUAACAAUAAUUUUCUUAAUAUUAAAAUUGUCAAUAAUAAUAAUUACAAUUAUUAUAACAAAUAGUAAUAAUGAUAAUAAUUGAUUGAGGAUAAAUUAAUAAUUUAUAAUAACUCAUUCUAAUUUAUGUUCACAAAGUAAACAUAUUAAUAGCAAUAUAGAAUAUUCCAAUUGUGUUUCAUUCAUCCAACAAAUAUCAUAUUUUGUUUGUUAUUCUUCAUUUUUAUUGUAGCCCAUUCUAAUUUUUUUUUAAUUUUUGUAAAUUUCAAUUAUUUAUUAGUGAGCACAUAAAAAAUUUAAUAAAAAUUAAAUUUCACAUUAGAAAGAGCAUGCAAGGUAGACUUUUGUAGGGUUUGCAAAUCAUAUUGUAGGUAUUUGGAAGUUCACAAAAAGUAAAUAAUGUUAUGUACAGAAAUAAGUUCUUGUUUAUAACGUUUUGCUGUAUUUCAGUGACACUUUGUUAUAUAAGGUGUUGGAUGCUAGGAUUAAGUAUGGGAUUGAACUAAUUUUGGAAUUAAAUAUUUAUCCAAUGUUUGUCAAGCUUAGUUGGAUUGUAUUAAGGGGGUAGUAAUUUAAAUUUAAUUCUAAAAUCAUGGGAUUAAUAAUGGUAAUUUACGCAUGGGUUUAGUUGGGAUAAGAUUAAUGAAAAAAGUUGUCCAUUUAUGAGAUUUUUAUUUAUAUCAUUUUUUAUUUGCACCUAAUAUUAAUUAAUUUUUAUUAUGAUUUACUUAAAACUUAUUUAUAUUUAUUAUCUAUGAUCUAAUUAAAUUAAUAUAUUUACUUGUAUUAACUCCGGAGAUUAAAUGUUCACCACUAGUAUAUUUAGUAAUUUAUCGAUAAAAUUAAAUGUUUAAUUAUUUAUUUCGCAAACACACCAAUAUUACAUUAUUUCCCUAUUAUUGCCAUCGGUUCCCAAACAUCCAAGAGCUGGUUGGCAACAAGAGAAAAAAUAGGGGUGACUAAUAACGACGACUAUGUAAUCGUGGCCAAUAAAUUAUUUCACAGUACCUAAUUAUAGCAACGAUUAAAUGCAACCUGAAACAUGCUGUUGAAGUCAUAGUUAUGGAAAAUUUUACAAACUUCAAAUAAGACCAAAAAAUUACAAAGAGUAAUGUUAAAUAUCCCAAUUAAAAUUGUGCCACUAUUCAAUCACAAAUGUAGGAUAGGUGACUAUAAUUUUUCUAUAAGUAAUGCUUCGGUACUUUUAACAGUGUGAUGAGUAAACGUUAAUUUUUAUAUUUUAACUCAUGAUCGUUAAGAGAAAUUAAAUUUGGAGUGUGUUUUUCAAAUAAUGUGACACUUCAAAAAUAUAUAUCUCAUCCUUCUCCCCGUUCCUCAUCAAAAACCACUUUUUCCAAUUUUCUCCCACAGGAUGCAGGAAUGAAGAAUGCAUGGAAGGAGAAAUUACCUAUCCAAACAUCCAUACUUGGAAAUCAUCAACACAAACCACAAAAUUAAGCUAUCUUAUGAAAAAUGUCCAUAAUGCAUAAUCAAAACAUAACAAGUAUUGACAAAUUUGAAAACAAAAUACAUAAUAAUCAUAAUUUCUGGGCAUAAAACCAUGGGAUAAUCACUGAGGAGGUGGCGGAGAUGAAGAUGAGGAUGGCGGCGAAAUCCCGAGAGUCCGGCAGAUGAGCUGCUGGUCAUCUAGAAUCUGCUGCUGCUGUGAAAAAAGACGUUGCUGCUCAGAAUGGAAGUGAUAGUGGAACGCUGCAAACCGUGUCUGAAGCUCGUUCUGUUGUAUAGAUAUGGAACAAAUUAAAACUGUCCAUUUAUAUGGGUAAUGAGUAACUACCUUAUCUUUUUAAUAAUUAAAAGAAAAGUAUUCCUUUAAUUAUUGGUAGAAUUUAUUUUCCAAUUCACUAUAAAAAAUAAAUACUCCUAGGGUGAAGAAUAUAAGUAUAAAUUGAAAUACAAAUUUUUUUUCACUUAAAGUGUUUUCUCAAAUUUUUUUCCAUAAGAAACUCAAAAAUGUAUUAAUGAAUAAGUUGUAAAAUAGAAAGUGGACAAGCCGUCCACUUAAAAAACAAAGCCUAGCACUAUUUGUGCUAUACGAAAGUGUACCCAAUCACCCCUAAAGUAUUUUUCCAACUUUUUCUCGUAUUUUUUUAAAGAAUACUUAAUAGAUUAGAUAUUGUAAUAUAAAAAUUGAAGACAAACAAACAUGAAUGAUGUAUCAAUAAAUUAAUGGAGAUCUAUUACUAUAUUUGGAGUAAAAUUAUGAAUAAAUUAACAUAGAUAAUGAAUUUAUACCUUUACUCUAUAAUGCAAAUGGUAUUAUGUUUUUAAUUCAAUUUAGCACCGUACAAGAAAAGAUUACCUUAUCGCUUCCAAUCCCUCCUUUAGAUCUAAGCCACUUCAUGAACUUCUUGAUCCUUGAUUUGCUCCAGAAUGUGAUAGGAAGUAUAAUCCUAUAAGGCUGAAUGUUGUCAUAUGCAACAUUAUGGAGAUAAAAGAUCUGCAUGAGCAACUUAUAAUUAAGAAGAAUAAUAUUAUUCAUGGUAAGCAUAUGCUCAGCUUUAGUUGCAGAAACUAUGUCACCUGUAGGAAGUGCUAACAAAUUCCAAUGUAUGCUGCUUGUUGUUUCCACUAUUUCAUUGUCACCAGAAUGUGAGUUUGAAUUACCCAUCCUUUUAUCUCUCUUUUUGUACCUUGCCUUUUGUUCGGGAGGAAGGUCUUUGUAGGUUUUCCCAAUAUGUUUUUGUAACUGUCAAAAUGAUAAUGAAUAUGUCUUAAAACAUAAAAAACCCACAAAAUAAUAUCUAUACAUGCUACAUUUAAUGAAUAUAUACUAACCCCAAUCGUAACGGACAAAUCUAAAUUUUCACUUCUCAAACGCUUAACUUCUUCAUUGCUGCAAAAGCAUAACAUCUAAUUACUGUUAUUUGGUAUGGGCGUGUUUCUUUCCCGAUAGGUAAAUCACAACGACUACUUACAAGUAAGAGACAAAUCCAUAAGUUGAAGACAUUGGAAUUGCAUCCUGACCAUUUGCUUUUAGAAUAGGAGCACUUUUUUCUGUAAGCCCCCUGGUAGUUGUUUACGCUUUCGUCGGUGACUGUCCAAGAAAAAUUUUAAAUAAUUAAGUGAAGGAUAAUUAUUCCAUCAAUAUGUAUUAAUUUUUUUUUAAAAGAUGAGUUCCCCCACCUGCUAUUCAAAGUCACUGUGUACUCCUUACUUUUUAAUCUAUUAAACAUUCCAUAUAUGGUGGAAUUCAAGCACAAAUUAUAAUUUUAUUUUAUUUUUUUCCUCAUUUAUACCAAUGAAGAAAAAGAUGACAAGAAUAACAAAGGAAAGAUCUUUAUUUUUGCCCAAGACUAUGACCUCUCACAAACUCACAAUAAAUGAAUGACAGAGUGAAAAAAAAUUGUAUAUAAUAAAGGGAUGGGAUCAAGAGCUCUCAUUUCUUACUACAAAAUUUACGAAAUCUAAAUAUUUCAACAACAUAAAAUUUAAUGGAUAAUGAUCUUUGCUGCAUACAUUAAAAUCAUGACUAUUACCGUGCCCUCAACUUUGCGUCAUACAAACAAAUUUCAUCAUAAAACAAAGUACAGUGCUUUUUUUUUAAUAAAAAAAUACAUUAAAGGCUGCUGGGAAUGAGUAGGGGAUGAUGGGUUGUAACCAAGAUCAAAAUUAAUGCAUUGAAACCAAUAUGACAAAAUCCAUACUAUGAAUUAUUAUAAACACCUAAUAAAGGGUUAGUAUAUCAGAGGGAUUGAUACCUGGAAUGUACUUCAGCAAAACAGGACCCCUGAAAAUAAGAAAGAAAAGUUUUGCUCAACAUUCCAAAAAAAAAAGAAGGCCUGCUCUUUUUAAAAAAUUAUAUCGUUGUAACUUACACAAAAUUCCACUUAGCACAAUCGUAAGGACCAAUCGUAAGAUUAAGAUGAAGGCCUGCUUGCUGCACCAGCUUGAUAAACUUCAGCAGAUCAGAAUUCCCCUCCAAGUAAUACUAAAACUAAUUAAAACAAAAACAAAAAACAAAAAUAGCAAAACAUUUACUGAAGAACUUAUUUAAAAUAUUACCCUAGAUUUGAGACUACAAGCAAACAGUGCCUUCUGAUAAAAACAAAUUACAUGCCAUAAAUAAAAUUAUUACGAGCCCACCAAAGAAAUUGUCAGGGUUAUAGUGAUUACAAACCUUCCCUAACUUUAUUUAUCUUCACCAAUGAAAAUAGGUCAACAUUUAACAUUCUUUUACAACCAAGUACACCAAGUCUUACAAUUAAAGGUUUAAGGUUACAAAGCAUAGUUACUUAAGACUCUUAGCUUUAUCGUAAGGCACCUUAGACAAUUCUAUUACCACACAAAGACCUGGGCCUAUUUCUUAUAAACACGGCAAGAAUCACAUCCAAGGUCAAGCAAAUUCAACAACAAGGUCAUACGGCAUAUACCCAGCACAUACCCAACUCAUUGGCCGAUUUGAGGCACAAAACAAUAGAAUAUUAUCAUAAAACCACCACAAUAUCACUGGAUUCGAAUAUAAGAAUAAUAUAAAUAUAAUUGUUCAAUUCAAUCAUUACCCCAAAUCACGAAUACUAGCGAGACUAUAUUAAUUCAUGCCACUGGCAGCAGCACAUUCUUUAAUAAAAUCCUUCAAAUAUAAAAAAUCAGCUACAUGCGAAUCUAGAAUUUAAAAGGAAAUAUACAAUAAUUUUUUGGAGAGAAGAAAUCCCUUUCCACUUAUAUUGAAGAUAAUUCAAGAAAAUGACAGGCCCCAAUUCGCAGAUCAUCAAAACAAACCCCAUUACUUGCAGUUGCUUGAUGCUCGAUAACGUUACCUCUUUUUUUUUUUCAAUUUAUAAUUUUUUCCUUUUUGUGAAUAACAGAAUCUCAAGAUAAAAUAUUGCAGUAUGACUUAAUUGUAACUCUAUCGGUUCAAAAACAAAAAAUGACAAGCCCUAUCAAUUAUCAUUCAAUUAUCAAUCCCUAGAAAUCAUCUCAAUAUUUCAAGUAAUAAUUUCUCAAUUGCAAAAUCAAAUUAUUGAAACUGAAAUUUCAAGUAAUAUUCAUAAACUAAACUGAAACGUCCUGCAUAUUUAAAUGACAUGAUAAGAUUUUUAAUCAUAUAUUAAAUUAGAGAGAGAGAGCUCACCGAAAUUAUUGGAAGACAUAAGAGAGAGAUACAGCAAGAGUGAUAGAUUGAAGCUGACGAAUUGAAGCUAUGAGUGACGAACUGAAGCUGAGAGUGAUAGAUUGAAGCUGACGAAUUGAAGCGAGAGUAACAGAUCGAGUAAGCCUGAGUAAAUGGCACUCUUUCGACUACAUCUUUGCUCUUUGCUGUGAUGGGUGGUGAAUAUUCUUGAAUACCAAUUUCAUUGAUCCAAAAUUCUAGAUGUAGGAGAAAACAAUAGCAGAGAGAAUAUGAAGGCUGUUACUUUGAGGGAGAGAGAGGCAUCACAAUCCAACGGCUGUGAUUUUUUAGAUAAGUCAAGUGAUGACAUAAUGACUGGCAUAUCUGGUCGCCAAAAUGAGUAAUCAAACAUAUUAACCAUUGGAUGUUUCUACUUCUAUAUAACGGUUGCCCUUUCUUUUAAAGUUAUUGUUACGUUCGGAAAACGUGACCACACAAUCAAAUGUUCUUCUAUUGUCAAAAACAAUAAAUACAUGAGUUUCUUUUUUUAGGUUAUGUCAAUUCAGCAGUUAAGCAGUUAGUGGUUUGUUUACUUAUGAGACCGAAUAAUUAAAAUAUAAAACAAAAAUGAUUAAUAACGUUUACUUGUUAAAAUAUAAGAGAAAUAAAAAUGAAAUAUAUAAAUUCACAUACUAUUUAAAUUAAAGAAUAAUAAUAGAGUCAUAACUUUUUUUCCAGUCAUCACUUUAUUUAAAAAAGAGUUGAACUAUAGGCACUCCUCUGAAAUUCUUAAAAAAAACCCUCUCAUGUUAUAAUUACAUUAAAGGAUAAAUUAAUCUAAUUAUACCGCUAUAUUUGUCUCGCUAAAUCUUUACAUCCACACAACUAUAUCAAAGUGUUUUACAUUUUUUUUUGUUUUCUUUUGCAUUCUAUUUUUUUAAUUUAAAAAAAUUACAUAAUAGCUAUUUGAGUCACUUCUUAAUUCAUACAUAUACAAGAAAUUUAAUAAUUCAAAAAUUUGUAUAAAAAAAAAUUUAGUUGGAGUUGUUUGGAAGAAACUAAAUUUUCUUUUGAAAUCAGAAAGAAACAGAAAAAAAAAAACAAAACAAAAAAAAGAAGACAUUUUGGGAAUUAAAGUAGGUAGAAAAGCAGCUUGAAACGUAAAUUACAAGGGUGCUAAUAGUCUUACUCUUUGAAAAAUGCGGCCUGAACUGACAAAAUGCCGACCUAACCAAUUUUUUAUGACGAUGAUUAAUACUUGUUCGUUUCUCCUUAGCUCUGUUUCUUACAUUGAUGCAUACAUGACUUAAAAGCUUCAUCUUCCUCUAGCUUCCUUUCGUGAAAUCCAAUAUCUUCUGUAGAAAUUCGAAUAAUCUCAUUUUGACUUUGAGUAAGCUUUUCAGUUCAAUUAUCUUGCUGUAGUUUAUUUUUGUAUUUGCACAAAAUAAUGCAGUCAGAACAAAAUAAUUAUGUAACCCGAAGCAAUUCCUUCCAUCUCUACGAUAUUAACAAAAGCCAAAAUUUUCAACCAUAAUUACAAUUAAUUUGCUACUUAAACAACGUGAAGUUACAAAAUUUUGGUUUCUAAAUGCGGAGCUAAAAACCUCUAGCAUCAAUAUAUUGGGAAUUGCGCCCUCAUCGUCUUAAGAUUAUUUGUUAAUAAUUAUGUAGAAAGGAAAAAAGAUGGAUGAUUUCAAUUUCCACCAAUCGAUAUGCAUGCACGAGUCUGAACUGAGACUGAGAAGACUAUUAGUACAGUGACGGAGGAAAAUAAUCUACUGAAGCACCGAGUUGCCCAUUUGGAUUUUUCGGAGAAGGUUGAUCUUUAAAGUUCAUUGUUUAUUCAACCAACCACAAAAAAAUUUAUUAUUUAUUCAACCAAUCAUAAACAAUCUUUUGUAUAUUAAAUUUUUUUUUAAAAGUUCCAGAUGAAAUGAUAUUUUGAAUAUUAUCUGCAAUAUUCACGUGAUUGGUACCACAUUUUUUAUUUUCUUAUUAACAAAAUUAUUUAUUUCGUAGGGACCGUAUUCACGCUUCCAAGUUUCUCAUACAUAUGCAAUUUAACCAUUGCGGUUGAUUAGCAUUUGAGUUUUGACAUGGGAAGCGGUAGGGAUGGGAAUAAAAUCCGGAUCCGCAUGUUAAAUAAUGCAGAUUUACAUGUAAGAAAUUAAAAUCUGCACGGAUCCGAAUCCAAAUUUAAAUAUAAGUGCAUUCAAAAAAUCAGAUAUUCUGCUAAUUUUUAUAUUAAAUUAAAAAAAUAUAUAUUAACUUUAACUUAAAAACAAAUUUAACCCAACUCUCACAUUCACACGCGCUCACAACACUUUUCCAGCAGCCACAACCCACAAACCCCUAACACCCAAAUCCCCCUAAUUCCGUAGGAUGUCGCCGUCUGCCUCACGGCCUCGCCUAAGCCUUGUGUCCAAGCCUCGAUCUAAGUCGGUCGCUGUCGUUGCGCGCUGCACGCCUCGAUCUGAGUCGGUCGCUGCCGCUGCACGCUGCACGCCUCGAUCUGAGUAAGUUGCUGCCGCUACACGCUCGAUCUGAGUCAGUUGCUGUCGAAUCCUCGCCAUCGAAGAAGCCUCUCGCUGUCGAAUCCUCGCCCUCGGAGAAGCCUCGUCUAAGCACUUUAAUUAAAAUGGUCUUGGCAAGCCUUGUUGAAUCCUUUGGCCUUUGUUGAUUCAAUUUAGUUUAAUUUUGAAUAAAUUUCUUUGCUGAUUCGUUUCAUCACUUUAAUUAAAUGCAUUAAUUUUCAAUAUAAUGUAAAUGUUUAAUAGGUUUUGGGAUUAGGUUUUAAUUUGGAAAAUUGUUGAAUUUUUAAAUUAAAAAUUUAAAUGAAAUCUUGGUGAAACCUGUUGUCAUCUGCCGGUUAACAUAGCUAGUCUCUGAAAUAAUUUCUUGAUUCACUAAUUAUGAGUUCAAAUUUGAUGCAGAAUGGGCAACCAGCCUACUGCAAACAAAUCUUCUGGAACAGUUCAGAUGAAGGGACAGCCAAUCCAGCAAAACAGUUAUAAACAACUCUAAAUAAAUUCAUAUACGCAUAGCAGCUAAUUACAGUCUUGAUACUUCAUUAGGUUUUUGUUAAUUUUCUAUACAGUUGUGCUGUGCAUUAAAGUUUUGUUAAAUGAAAUCGGUAGGUGAGGAUUAAUUAAUCAAUUAAUUAAGAUCCAGUUAAUGUAAUUAAUUUUAUUUGAUUUUUUUAAUUCGAGUUCUAAAUUAAUCAAUUAAUUUAGAUUCAUGUGAAAUUGAAGUGAAUUAGUUUCGAUCUGUUUUUCGUCCUAUGUUUGUCUGUGUUUACUCUUACUUUUUUUUUGUUUAAAUUUUCGUUUUCUUAUUGUUUACUGAAUAAAUUUCUGAGCUGUAUUUGAGUAUGAUUGAUUUGUGAUUUUAAUUUGUGACUUUUUUUUUUGGAAUUUAAAUCUGAAUGCUUUUUAAGUUGAAUCUGAUUGUGUUGGGCUGCGAUUUAAUUGAGUGAUGAGGGAGCGCCAAAUUGUGAGAGCCAAAUAUUCAAUAACCGAUAAAUUAUAUUUAUAAAUAUUAAUAGCGAUGGCACAUAAACAAUUAAUUCAAGAACUUGCCCAUAGUGAUUAAUUUAAAGAGUAUAAGUAACAUUGCAGUACAGUUAGCCCUUGCGUGUUUAAUUAGCAAUUGAAAACUAAUGUUGCUGAUGAGGUAGAACAUUAUAACACUGUUGCUGAUGAGGCAGCUGGUAAUUCUUCUGGUGAAGAUAUUAAGACUAUUAAAGCUGAAAUGUAAUUAGAGAAAUAUAAUGCAUUCCCUUAGUUUGCUUUUUGUUUUUGAUAUUUGUUUGGCUAAUGCUUUGCUUAGAUUACUUUUUGUUUUUGAGAUUUUAUUGGCUUAGUCAUGGGGUAUUGUUUUCUCUUCUAAUUUCUAUUUUUGUUGUUAUGGGAUUUUAUUGGCUUACUUUUUGUUUUUGAGAUUUAUCCAGUGCUUUCAAUAAAUCAUGGUCGAUUUACUGUUAAUUAAUCAAAUUUAAUUUACCCAAAUUACUCAUGUACACGAUCAAAAUAAUUAUAAUUCCAUGAUAUAUAUACACGCGCGCACACAAACAAAAUGUAAUUAACUUUGAAAUAUAAAAUAUUUAAAAUAAUCACCGUACUAACAAUUCACAAAUCAGAUUUUAUAUAAAUAGACGCAAUAAUGUUAAUCUAGCGAAUCCAGUCAUAAUAAUUUGAUUUUCAUUUAUAUUAAUUAUGUCAAACCAUGCUAUUUUAAUAAAUAGCACUUGAGAAUAUAUAUAUCCAACAUGUAAAAUUUCAAAACAAUAUUUGCCAAAAUCUGAUGAAGAGAAUAUACACGCACGCACAUAUAUAAUCGUACAGCAGAAGGAUAAAUAAAAGAAAAUGAAGUUUCAACAGUUGAAUAAUGCAAAUUCAUUUUUUUUUAACAAGCAUUUUAUUGUUUAAUUAAAAAAUUCGAAAACCGAUUGGUCUUAUAUACAUGAUAAAAACUCACCGACGCCGAACCAUAUUCAUUUAAAUUAGUUUUCAACUGAGAUUUGAAUUUUAAAAUUAUAUAAACAAGCACGCCCAAUUUUUUUUUUUAAAAAGUAGUAAUUAUAAAAUAUUUAUGUCGUCCUCUAAAAAACCAAUUUACAAUCUAUAAAACCAAUUUACAAUCUAUUUCAACAUAAGGUAUAUGGGUUAACAAGUCCCAAUAUUGUCCUCCAUCCUUUCUGCACUUCUCUUCUAUCAACCGACAUCUCCAGAUGUCUAAUUGCAAAAGUGAGGAAGGCAGGCCCUUCUCCGGAAAGUAUUUGAGCUUGGGACAUUCCCAGAGAUACAAUUCAGUGAGGUUUUGAAGAUCAACAAUUGAAGAAGAUAGGCGUUCCAGAUUUGGAAAUUUAUAAAUGCUCAGAGAUGUUAGAGAGGCAGGAAGAGGAAGCGCGGUCCCUAAUCUUUUGUCCUCUAGUGGAAAUGACGCCAUGUCGUCAUCGCAUCCUCUGAUUUCAAGACGUCGCAGAGAGGAGAAUCUGUGAAAUCCCCGUCCCCGCUCAAUCAUUGACUUCCAAAUCUCCAUAUUACCCCAAAUAUCAAGUGACUGAAGGUUGGUGGGGAGGCCAUCUUCUUCUUCAAGGCUUGGAAGCGCACCUCCUUUUCCUAUUGUUAAUUCUUGAAGAGAGCUCAGAUUGUGCAUUCCCUUGGGUAAGGCCUCUAGUCUCUUACAAUUAGAUAUCGCCAGCCUCCUGAGUUUCGCACAAGGCAAUCCCCCUUCGGGAAAGGACACCAGAUUUUUACAACUAUCUAUGCUGAUUGUUUCAAGAGAUGUGUUGUUGUCCAACCUUUCUGCUAUUGACUUCAACUUUGAACAACUCCAAACAACGAGGGACUUAAGAGACGAAGGUGGAUUGCCAACUUCAAGGGACUCAAGCGUGGCAGGUAACUCGUUUUUUGAAAAUAUACAUGUCAGAGAUGGACAACUAAUAAUUUCUAAGUGCUCGAGAAGAGAUGAGGUGUACCUUCUGCUGCUGCUGCUACACUGGAUGCCCUCUUCCACUGUCAAAGUCCUUAUAUUAUCACAAUCUCUGAUGCUCAACUUCUUAAGGCUCGGUGGCAGCUGGACAGCAGCAACAUAUGUCAACGAAUGGCAAUUCAGAAUAUUCAAGAUCUCGAGAGACGAAUUGGUGUCGCACAUCCAUGCCUCUGGUAACGAUUUCAGUGCACCACAAUACCUAAUCUCAAUUUCCUUCAACUUGGAAGGCAGAGCAACCUCAGGAAAGGAAACAAGGGAACUGCACUUCCAGAUUUCUAUCUCUCUCAAGGAACUGAGGCUGAACGAUGAUUGUGGCAGCUUCACAAGGCCUUCGCAAUUACUCAAUCUUAGAUAUUCAAGUCUGCAUGACAACUCGCAGAGCUGCUGUUGUUGGUCUUUCUUUUCCUCCGCCACCAAGGAUUGAAGUUUGGGACAGCUUGUAAUCGUCAGUCUUUUGAGAGAGCAAAUGUCUUGCAGUAAUUCGUUAUGACUCUUCCAUAUAUGUGUUUCAUUUUUAAUAUUUUUUAUCUCCAAUUCUUCCAGUUUUGGUAUUCGCGGCUUCAAUGGCCCUGCGAGAAACACUUGAUUUGAUGUAUCUCUACAAACCACUGCAUUCUGUGAGCCGAGAUGAUCAAUUGCACUUCUCCACACAACCUUUUUACAUCCACGAAUUACCAAUUUGCAAAGAGCUGGAAGACUCCUAAUUGAAAUUGACAAUUCUUCGCAUUGUUCAAUAACAAGCAUCUCCAAUGCAGGAAGCUGCUCUGGAAAUGUUCCUUGCAGUUUAGAACAUCUUAAAAUGUGAAGCUCUCUCAAUUUAGGAAACCCUUCAACUCCCUGACUGGAUCCAUGAGGAAACCACUCUUCCCACUCUUGCAGGUCUUCAAAAUGAAGAGUCUCCAAGCAUGUAAAUGGAAUUUGAGAGUCAUCCCCAUAGAACUCUGAACCCAAUCUCUUUACUCUACUCAUUCCACGCACUGUAAGAUGCUUCAGAGAGGGCAGUUGGCCGACUGACGGCAGGGCAGUACACAUGCCGCAAUCUUCAAAUUUAAGUGUUACUAAAUUUAAGAAUGAGGAAUCUCCUAACCAUGUUGGAAAUUUUGUACCUCCAUAGCCACAGAUGCCAAAUUGUUCCAGAUUUUUAUGGGGUUUGAGCAUGUCAAGCACACCCAUUUCAGUUUCUGCCUCCCUUGAAGAUGAACCAUCGGUGCUGCAAGUCCAAUUAAGCGAUAAUUCUCUAAGAUUCUUCUUUCCAUCCAACCGAGCCUCCUUUGCAUCACCAAUGUCUUUUACAUUCUCUAAUUUUGAAAUUUUAAGUGUCCCCUGAAGAUGUAUCAAUGACUUUAGCUCUCGUAACCCAGAACCAUUGUCUUUUCCCACAGCAAAAUUACCCAGCGUUUGAAGACAAGUCAGCUUACCAAUUCCUAGUGGCAUUUCCUCCAAGGAAUCUGUAUUUGAAUUAUUGAGAUGAUGCAAUUUGAUGAGAUUUCCCAUGUCUGCACACAACUUCUUCAGUCGUCGACAGCCCUCCAAAAGAAGGGUGUGCAAGUUGUAAAGCUUGCUGACUGAUUCAGGCAGAGUUUUAAUCUCAGUUCCAGACAGGUUAAGGUGCCUUAAAUACCUCAAAUCACCAACUGAAUCCGGCAGCUCGGCGAUGCAAUAUCCACGCAGAGAGAAGACCCUUAAGCUUUGGAGUUUGAACAACUUAGGAAGAAUGCUAUGAGCCAAGUAUCCAUGCCGACUAUUUAACAUCACUGGUAAAAAAGUUCUCAAAUGUUGGAUAUCAUACAAUUUCUCAAACCUUUGAACGCCAUCAUAAUCUCCACGAAUGUACGACAGAUAACGAAGAUUUCUAGAAAAACAUUGUUGCUUGUUAACCUCCGAGGUAUACUCCAGUGUGAAGUAUGUCUCCCCUGCAGCCCAACGGGCAAGGUCGUUGAUAAGAUCGUGCAUAACAAAUCGUGAUAUACUGUUGCUCGAUUGCUGGAAAAAAGAUCUUCCACGUAGCUCUUGAAAGAACUUUCGACCGAGAUCUUCACUAGGAUUCCCACUCUCUCCGUGAUUCAAGAAACCCACAGCACUCCAUAAUAAAAUUAUCUCCCCCUCUUCAAAUUCAUAAUCCUUUGGAAACAAUGAGCAAUACGCAAAGCAUUGUUUCAAAGGUGCCGAAAGAUAAUAGUAGCUCACUCUAAGCGCCGGCAUAAUGUCACAUCUCUCUUCUUGCAAUUCCCAUAUCUUGGUACUGAGCACUCUCUCCCAAUCACAUCUGUCAUCUUUUCCUCGCAAAAGUCCUCCAAGUGUUUGCGCUGCCAAGGGCAAGCCAUCGCAUUUGGCCACUAUCUUCUUGCCAAUUUCCUCCAAUAACUUAUCUGACCCCAAAGAGUGUUGAGCGAACACAGACAGACAAUCAUCAUUUGACAACUUUUUCAAUUGAUAAGCCCGAACAGUCCCCAUGAUGGCUGCAACCUCUUGAUUACGAGCUGUGACAAUAAUCUUACUUCCCGGUGCGCCAGCUUCAAAUGGAGGUCUGAGUCGAUCCCAAUCAUUGUAAUUCUCAUUCCAAACGUCAUCUAAAACAAGCAAAAAUUUUUUUCCAGAUAACUUCUUCUUCAGCUCCUCUUGAAGCUUAUUCAAGUUGUGAUUAUCCACGUUCUGGUCAGGAACAAUGGAUAUCAAGAUUGUUUUUGUUAGCCUGAAAACAUCGAAAUCAUCAGAGACACAAGUCCAUGCCUUGAGAUCAAAAUGAUCCUGCACUUGCUUAUCAUUGUAGACAAGCUGAGCAAGAGUGGUUUUGCCCAGCCCGCCCAUACCUAUGAUAGGAAUAACAGAGAAUUCACCAUCGUUGCUUAAAUCAUCCCUCAAAAGCAGUUCUACAACAUCCUUCUUUUCUGUUUCUCUGCCAUAUGCUUUGGCUUCCUUCACCAAAGAAGUUGUCUCUCGCCUUUGCCUGUCUUUUAUGGUCCUCCCACCUGAACUUACGUUCAAACCCAGCGAAUCCUUCUGAGUUACAAUUUCUUGAAAUCUGCCGUUGAUCUCUUUGAUUUUGGACAUUAUGGCGUAAUCGAACUGAAUCGAUUGUGGAGCAAAAGUGGUGCAGCAAGUGGGAAUGAGCUUCCGAAACUUACUUGUUCUUGUACGACUGCUACUGGGUUGAUCAAGAGCAGCAGCAGGUUCUCCAUUUCCAAGCAGCAACUUCCUCCGGAAAACCUCAGUUUGAAACUCAUCCAACAGGUCCUCAACAUCAUAAGCCAAGUUCUGAAGCUCGCCAAGCCACAACUUCACAGACUGAUCAGUCGUUUUCUUCUCCUCAGCAUCAGCAAGCACCGCCUUGAUCAUCACCAACAUAUUCUUCCACUUCUUUAGGUCGGCCUGGAUUUGCUCUUGGCGUGCAAACAACCGAAUCCCCUCUGAAGCUAACUUAUUGACCAGCAAAUCAACGGAAGCCGUAAGGAUUGCCUCUCCGAUGAUUGACAUUUUUUUUUUGUUUUUGUUUUGCAAAGAAAGAAACAGAAUUUUGAGUUUUGAAAAGCAAAAUGAGAAAAUUGAACAGUAAGUGUGGAGGGUCAAGCAAAAUGCGCGUAACAAGUCUUCCGCUUGUUGUUUAUUCCAGUAAAGCUAGAAUAAAAACAGAGCCCACCACCCAUUAAUAAUAAUUGAGCAAUUCACCAACCACCAAUCACCAGUCACCACUACUCGUUACCAUGAAUAUAAUAAAUUGCAACUUGAUAUUUGCAGGGUCCAGCAACAUUGACCCAGUGUCCGGGUAAAUGCUGAUAAAUCAAAACGUUUAUCUCUCUCUCUCUUUUCCAUAAAAUUACUUUAUUUAUUGAAUUAAUUUCCAUGCUAAAACGAAGACUUAAAAGUGCACUACAAUUUUUUAUAAUCACAAUGAUAAUUCUUACUAUCAUGUUAUCUUAAUGUCGUGUCAAAAUAAAUUAUAACAAAGUUUUUUCUAUAUGAAUACUCUUUUCAUUUAUAAAUUUUUCAGUUUUUAAUAUUUUUCUCACUCUUUUAGUCUUAAUAUUUGUAUUCCUCUCUUCAAACUUUCUUAAUUAUUUAAUUUUUAAAGAAAAAUCUAAAAAAAAGUAAGAAAAACAUUAUACUUAGAAAAUAAUGAAUAUUUUAUGGGUAUAAUACAAUUUUGUCUCACCUAUAAAUUUGUUGUUUAGCAAUUAGUUUGAGAAUUUUAAAAAAUUAUUUACAGUAGGAUAAAUUUUUAUUUAAUUUAUUUUUUCACAAUAUUGUAUCUUAAUUAAUUAAGUUGUUAUGUUUAUUACAAAAAUUUUGUUUUGGCUUAGAGGAUUACUUCUUAAAUUCAAAUUAUUUUAAUGAUAAUAAAAGAUAUUUAUAUUGUGUAAACAAAAUAAAAUUGAAGAGAGAAAGAAAAUAUAAAUGACUUAAUUCUAUUUAUAUUUGUCCUUAAAAUGUAAUUGUAAUAGAAUAAGGGUUUUAUAAGAUUAAUGAAGGGAUACCGAUAGUCCUACUCUUAUGGAAAAUGGCAGUAAAAAUGGAAUGUAUCCACUACAAACCUUCGCUUUACAAGUCUUCAAUCAAACAUGUAUUGAUUUGUAAAAGGAUCACUAGCAUCCGAUUAUUGGGAGGUAUUAUGGAGAAGUCACGCUUAGUAUUUACAAUUCAUGUAAGAUGAAUUUGUAAGACUUAUUAAUUUCGAUGAAAAUAUAGAUUUAUUAAGUUACUAAUUCAUUAAGUUAACAUGAGAUAUUAAUAUUUACUAAUUGUGGCGAUUAAUUUAUUUAACUUGUCAUGAUUUUCAAUUAAGAAGGAAGUUCAGUCAAUUUAUGGAAAGAAGGAUAAUUUUUUUUUUCAGAAUUUUAAUUUCUAGGAUUUUAUUUCACUUUGUUUCGAUUGUUGAUGUUGCUAAAGAGGCAGUGAAAGUUUGCUGAAUGCCAUCAGAUGCUUGUAUCUUAUCUCACAAAAUGUCAAUAUCGGUUUGUUUCCCUAUAGGCGCAGCCAUCAUGAAUUGAAAGUAACAACGUGAUGAGCAUAUAACAUAUACAUAUUUUACCAUUAAUUAUAUAAUUGUUAGUUAUUUUUAUUUGUUAUUUUUAAUUAAUUAAAUUAUUUUGUUGAAUAAAAAAUUAAUUAGAGAUUCUAGAUAAAAAGGGCAUGAAGAAGUUUAAUUUGGGAAGCAAAAAAAAAUAAAUUGAAAGAUAAAAAUACAGACAAGGAUUAAUGGAAUCCAAGCCGAAAAAAUCAAAGCACAAGGAUUUUCUUAAUGUCAUUAUUUAGGCAAGGGUUUUGAUGCAGCGGAAGUUUAAGAGAAUCAAAUCUGAAGAAUUUAUUAAGAGAAUCAAAUUGGAAGUUUUGAUGCAGCAAAAAAAAACUGAAGUUUGAAUUUCACUCACAUAGGUAAUAAGAGAAUUAAAUUAUUGUUAGAUUAAAUUGAUUAAAAAAAAUUAUCUGAUAUCCAAAACAGCAUAUCAACAAAAUUGAAAUAAAAGAAAAUUGAAGAGAAAAACCAUCGAGAGAACGAAAAUUAACACACGAAAAUUUCGAUAACUUCACUUAUUAAAACUUGGUUAUUUCAUUUUCAUUGAUAAUCAUUUUGACACCGGUCAAAUUUAAAAGUUUAAAUAAUGGGGGCGCUAUUUCUUUCCAGCUAUGCCCAUCGACUAAUUAAAAUACCGCCGAAACAGUUCAGGGAUAGUAUAGUAAUUUCAUUUAACAGUUUUCGUGCUUCAAAUCAUCAAAUCAAACUCACGGUUUCCGACUUGUAAUGGGUGCAACUCAUGUUUUUCAAACAUUAAGAUCUUUUGCCAUUCUGUUACUAUCCCAUGGUUAUUUAAGUUACAAGAGACAGUAAAAAACAUCAUCAUAUUUUAACGUCCUUUGAAUAUUUGAAGAGGUUAAAAUUUAGGCAGUGUUAUAUAAAAUAUAAUGUAAAUUAGUCUCAGUAAUUGUGUAGUUGUAUGUGAGAAAACAUACAAUGUAAAAGUGUGUGUGAGAAAACAAAAAAUAUGAAUCACCUUUGAUGUAGUUGUAUGGUUGUAAAGAAUUAGAUGGAGAAAUAUAGUAUAUAAUUAAAUUUAUUUUGUUCUUUAAAACGGAUAGGUUUUAUGCAAAUUUUUCAGAGGAGUGCCAAUAUUUCAACUCUAUCAUUGCUAUUAGUUUGUCUUGUAAUUCAAUCAUUGCCGACAAGUAUUAAUUGUGACUAUUAUUAUUUUAAAAAUAUUAUUAUUAUUAUCGUCGUUAUUCUUAACAGCAAUGACUAGAAUUAUAAUAAUAACAAUAACGUCAAUACAAUAAUAUAACAACAUAAUAAUAUUUUAAUUGGGGUCUUCCACCUGGGUAUGCAUGAUUCCUUGUGACAUGAUAUAGGGUGCGUUUGGGAUUGAGGUUAGGCAGCUGUAGCUUAAAAGCUACAGCACUAAAGUGUUUGAUAAACACUAACUGCUGUAGCUUUUAAGCUAUAUUGAUAUGAUUUUUCACUUGUAUAAUACAAAAUCUAUUAUAUCUUUAAAAAUUUUAUCAAAAUUAUUAUUUAAAAUUUAUAUUUACUAUAUAUUAUUAAAUUUUGUUUCAUAAUUACAGUUUUUUUUUCACAGCAGCUGUAGCUUAAAAGCUACAACACCUCAAUCCCAAACGCACCCAUAGAGCCAAUUAAAUUCUGAAAUGCGUGCAAUAAAGACUGUAAAGUGACCAGUUAUUCCGGUUGAAUUCACAAGAGCUCUUGUUUGUGUGUUUAUGUUUCAAGUUGUGUACUCUGUGUUACGAGUUCUCUAAUUAGUCUGAUAUUAUCGCAAUUAUUGCUCAAUAAUGUUACAAGUAUUAUAAUAUAUGUCACUAGUACGGUCGUUGUCUCGAGUGGUACACAUUAAGGCACAAAUUUAGAACGAAAAGCUUCCCAGUAAAAUAAGUUAUUUAAUUAAUUAAAUAAGAAUAAAAUGAAUUUGUGAAAGAAAUUUAAAUUUUAUUUUGAAUUAUUUUGACCAAAAUUUAAGUUUUUUUUUUUUAAAUUUGUUUAAGAAAAUGCAUUGUAAUUGUCUUGUUUUAAUUGGAAAAUCAAUAAAAAAAAUUAUGUAACAGAAAAAAAAAAAAAAAAAAGCAAAACGGUUUGUUUUGGAUGGAGUCCAUAGAUUCCAAUAUUUCCUUCACGAAAACUACAAAAAAUUAUCAAAGCCAUCAAUUUCUACACUCUCACCGAGCAAAUACUCUCAACCUAGAUGAAAGUGUAUAAAUCAACCCCAAUCAGUCCAUCAAUGUCGUCAACCUCAUACAGCAUAAAAAAAUCUGUGUCCAUUAAACCGCCAUCUUGCCAUCUCGUUGUAGUAUUUUACUGUUCAAAUCUAGUUAUCAAUUGGGCAAAAUGGGGACCAAUCUGCAAGUCUUUAAAAUAGAAAGAAACUUUAAUUGAGCACUAUGUUCACGGUGGUGGACCCGGCGGCAGUAAUCUUUAGGGUGGAGUUAUUUAUAUUUUAAAAAUUAUUUUAAACACUCUAAUUUUAAUAAGAAUAUGUAUUACAAAAAUAUUUAUCAUAUAAGUUACUAUUAAGAAUAAUAUAAUAUAUUAUAAGUCAACAUUAUAUAAUUAUUGUGAACACUUGUAUAGCACAAUCCUUAUUUAUUUUAUUAUUCUCAUGACUUAAAUAUAAAAAUUUUUAUUUCCAACAUCUUAAUUAAUAUGUAGAUGAAUAAUAAGGAAAUUAACUUUGAGAAAAAAUUAAAUACAAAAUAUGUGUAAUACUUUUAAAAAAUAAAAUAAAACAAAAGUAUUGCACAAGAUUUUUUUUUGGGAGGGAUUUUGCCAUUCUUCUUCUUCUUCUUCUCCUUCUCUCUCUCUCUCUCUCUCUCUCUCUCUCUCUCUCUCUCUCUCUUUUGGUAGUAUUUAUGGAACAUUUUCUCUUGUUAUGUUCUCAUUGCAAGUUAUUUUGGGUGCAAAAGUCAAUAUUAAAAAUAAAUUAAAUAAAAAAUUAGUAACUAAAAUUAUGUUAAAUUAUUUUUUUACAACUUAAUUUUUAAUUAUAUUUUGUGAGUAUAUGCUAAAUCUCUUAAAAAUAGAGUGUUGAAUAAUUUUAUUAGUUUUUUUAAAUAAAUGAAGCUAAGUAACUUAAAAAGUUUAGUAAGGAUAUUUUUGAAUUUUAAAUAAUGUACAAAGUAAAAUUUAAUUUUUUUAUAAUUAAGCUACGAGCGUGCAAAGUAAUAUUUAGAGUGCUAAUAGUCCUACCCUAAUCUUUAUCAUCACAUUAUUUUCCAUAAAAAGUUUACAAUUAUCUCUUUAUUGGAUAAUUUUGUUCCCUCUCUUACCGUUAUGUUCCCCUACAUUCUCAUAUCUGCAUCACCAUUUAAAUUGUAAUCAUAACGUUAAUCUUUAUCAUUUCACAUAUUUUGCCAAAUUUAUACGCACUGCAAAGCUCUUUCCUUUUUUUUUUUUUUCCCGUUAAGUUUGCUAUAAUGUACAUGAAGAAUAGUUAAAGAGCUCUUUCGAGUCCUUAUCCUUUCUUUCGAGUUUACUUUUGCUUUUUUUUUUUUUUAACGUUUCUCUGGAAUUCACUUCAACAUCACUGGCGCGUUUUCUUCUUUCUCACUGCAACAUCAACUGGGCCACCACCUCUUGCCUCUCCCGGUUCCCCUCAAUUUUCGUAUUCAAUGUCCACCGUUGAUUGUACAUUUAUUAAAAUUCUGUGGUUAUUAUUUUUUGCAUAUAUUUAAUUCCACACGGUCUAGAUCGUAGUUGUGUCCUUUUAAUUGAGGAUGAGAAUGAAAUUAUGAAAUUUAAGUUGGGUAAAAAUGGUGAGUAUGAGGAAAUUAAAUUACAAUUCUUUAAGAUAAAUAAUUUGUAAAUCCCACAUAUUUCAUUUUUAUUUCUCUAGUUAAAUUAUAUUUUAAUAAAUAAAUAUAAUCAAUUAUUUUAAUAUUUUAAUUAAUAAACACGACAUUAACUACGGAACUAAAAAAUCCAAAAAAAAAAAAACAGAGGCGUGUGUGUAUUGCUUGUGACAAAUGUCACCCAUGGAAAACCUUGUGAAAGGCAUUUGAAUGUGUGGCCACAUUUAAUGAACGAAACGAUAACUUUAAAAGAAAGUAUGUACUGUGUUAAUUAUUAGGCUUUAGCUUAAUGAUUUCAAUUAGUUUGUCUUUUAAUUAAAUUAUUGCCGACAAACACUAUCACGACCCACGUCCGCUACUUGUGUGAAUGUGUGUAUAAAUAUCCGCAGCAUAUUAUCAAACUUGAUGCGUGAUCAUCUUUAAGUUUUGGUUACGGUUCAUCAGACGUUAGAAGACAUCUUUUUUAAUUUGAAGAAGAUGGAAACUCCGCAGGUUCUUAUGCCAUGUUCAAUUGAAUGUCAUUUAUAAUUUUUAUUUUAAUAUUAUGUAUUUAUGAAUAUAAUUAUUAUUAUGAUUUUUUCAAAUAAAAACGGAUGGUCUAAGGGUAAUUCAAUAACUAUGUACAGUAUUAUUAAUGAUGAGAGCGUGAAUGAUAAUUUAGAUUUUAUUCUCUUCUCUCAAUACAGAAGAAAUCUCGACUGUAGUAGUUAAGUGUUAUGUAACUCUUUCGUAUUAUGUUCAAUUAAUAAUAAAAUGAUGAGUUAUUAUUACCUGUCAAUUAUGUGAGUGUCUUUGUUUGAUUUAGUUCAACUUAUAAAAUCUCUUGAGAUAUAUAAGAGAUUUUCUUUGUUUACUUUCAUGUACCGCGUCUUCUUGUAAAAAGUAAUUAAUAAAAAAAAUAUCAUUGUGUGCCAUGUAUUGACUAAGUUAGUGUAUUCAUGUUAGGUUAAUUGUGCUCUCUCUUCUUGAUUUUUUUUUAUUAAAAAAAACUCCACGUAUUCUUGGUUAGCUAAUUCUUGCAGGUAGCAAGUGAUCGAUCCUUUUCUUUCCCCUACUGCUGUACCACCAAAUCCUUACAAUUACAUAUCAAGUGGUAUUCGAGCCGUCAAAGGAUCCAUGGAAACACGCAACAAAUCAAAUGCUGAAUUUUGCGAAGAGAUUCACGAAAUCCUUGCUAUACAUGAGUCUAGUUUUGACCAAGUUCACGUCACGCAUCAGCUGCGGGUUUGAAUGGUACCUAGUGGAUAUUUUGUGAGUUCCCACUAAUAAAAUCACACUUGCACAAAACUUAAAAAUUUAAAUUACGUAAUUCAAAUUAUAAAUUUAUAAUGGUAGCCUAAAAAAUCACAUAAAAUACUUAAUUCUAGAUUUUAUCAAUGUAAAUGAGAAAUGACAGUUUUAACAUUAAAAUAAAUACACAAAAUAUAUCAAUUUAACAUAAAUUUUUAAAUUUAAUUACCAAAUACAUAAGUCUAUCGCAACUCAAAGUGCUUUCAAUUGAAAACGAAAAAAGAGAAAGAAAAAAAAAACAAAGAACUACAAAUCAAAAUAGCAGCCAUGACCCAUUUUACAGUCUCAUUCAAUACCACUAGCACCCAUCAAACACGAUUUUUCUAAACAAAGUAUAAAGUACAAAAUUACAAUAAGCAUAUCAUACUCCAUGCUUUAAGUUAAAGAUCCUUAUAUCUUUUUAUGAAUAAUUUUUUAAUGAAAUUUUAUGAUUAAAAUUAAAAAUACAAACAUUCAAAUAAGAAUGUCGGACACUUGCGCAACUAUUCACCAAAUUUUUUCUCUAUAAAAAUCGACCUGCAACUUUCAAUAGGUUUAAAUUUAUAAUAUCAAACCUGAUUGCAGCUCGCAAAAAUUAUCCGUUGCGGCCAAGACUUUGGAUUUGCGAUGAUUUUGCCACCCUAAGUGUAGUUAGUAUUGUAUAUCAUGUGGCUCUUAUAAAAAGCCUAGAAGUUGUUUGAAUAACGGGGUAGACACAUAUCUCCCAAAGAUUUUCUCUUUUUCAAAUUAUUAUUUUUUCUCUAUUAUUGUAACUUCGAAUCCUUAUAAAUUACAGAUUGGAGACAUGAACACAAUGUUUUGACAUAGUGGACUUUUGGCUUGUCCAAAGAAAUUUAGGAUAGAUUUUUACGCACUAAGGUUCUAUUUACUAUUGAAGUUUUAGAACUUUUAAGCCACACCAGAAAUUUUUAUUGUUUUGAUAGAGUUGUAGUCUUUGAUAUGUGAUUAGUAUUAAUUAAGUGUUAUGUUUACAAUAGUUAAAGGCAUAUUGAAUCAAAAUCCACUUCUAAGGGCUUGAUUGAGUGAUUGUAAAGUAGGUUUUUAGUUUGCUAGCCACUCAAGUUCAAAUAUUGGAACCACAUAGCUUUAUAGCCAAGUGAGAGAACUUGUGCCCUAAAAAUUGAGGGGUGCAUAUCGAGUUUUACCACCAAUAAAAGUUGGUGUUAAAACUUUAAUUUCCCUCCUAUUAAUGGAUAUGGGUGAUUAGGAGUUUACAUCCCCUCCUAUUAAUAGACAGGGAUUAUUAGGAAUAUUAAAAAAAAGUUCAAAUAUUGAAAAUGUAGGUAUGGGUUAUAAAAUUCAUAAUAUAAAGACACAAAAUCAAGAUAAAGAUUUAAAAAUUUAGAACCAUGAGAGCGUGACUUGUAAGUUUCAAAGAAGCAUGUGCAAAUAUAUGCAUUAUCGAUGCCCAAUUAAGGGUGGGCAUUAAGAUCGGGUUAACCCGAACCGAACCGAAUCAAACUUAAAAUUUAUUUUGGAUUUAAUUUGGUUAUAGUUGAAGCUUUCAACUGAGUUCAAAACUUAAAAAUGAUUGGGUUGUAUUUCUGUUCGAAUUUAACUCCAGAAGACUAAUCAAUCCAAUCGAGUUAAGUAAGCAAAUUAAGAAAAAAAAUCCCAAAAAAUUAAAACUAACCCUAACUAAAAUAUUCGACCGGGGCCUCCUCGUUUUCUUUUCUUCUUCCUCCUCUCGCUCACCCCUAAUGCCCAUUCAUGGAAAUCCAACAGCUCCAAACGCGUUUCAGCCGCUCGCACGUGUGAGAAAUUUUCCUUCUCAUAGGAUUAUUCGUUUCCUUCGCUUGCAUGCCAGCAGAAUAUUCAGGCCGAGGAUUUUUCCGGGCCUAGCCCAACUAUAAGCUCUCCCAAAACCCAAUCAUAAGUUCAUAACGUUUAGCGUUUGCUAUUACUAUAAUAUUUUUUAACGAAUUUUCACAUUCAUCAACAUAGGCUGACAGAUUUUGUAGAAAAUAAAAUUAAAUAAAAAUACAAGCUCACGAAAUUCCUUUUCCGAUGUGGGAAUCUAUCUACACCUUUCACGUGCUUUUUUUUUUUUGGUGGUGGGGGAUUCCCUUGCUUUUGUUUGCAUUGCCUUAUUGGAUAAAAGUUUGUACAACAUCGUCUGUUUGGUUAAAGCCGAGCAUGAGUGAAGAAAUUUUUUUUAAAAAAAAUUUCCCAUUAAUUUGCAACAAGUAUUAAUAAAGUGCAUGAGAAAAGACACCGGGAUAUGCCUUUUUUAAAAUGAAAAUAAAUGUGUUAAUUAGUCAAUUUAAAUGGUAUGACAUUUUGAAAUGAUAGAAGUGAUCUAAAGUUUAAAUCUUACACUUAAUUUAGGGGUGGGGAUUAAUUGAUGUAAUAUAUAAUAACGAAUUCGAAAGAUAAUUAAAAAUUAAAAGAAAAUAAAAAAGUGCUUUCUUUUUUAUGAUGGUAAUUUGUUUAGAUGAUGAAAACUCUUAGAGUGGUAUUAUCAAUACAUAGUAUUUAUUUUAUUAUAUUUUUAAAUUAAUAAUAAUUAUUAAUAUUCUUAACUAUGUAAAUCACAAUUAUUUUAUUAAUUUUAAUUUAAAUUAUAUAAAUAAAAAAUUAAUAACAACAACACAAAUGAAACAUUAUUAUUGAUAAUAUAGUACAAAUUAAUUUUUUUAGAAUAAAAUAUUUAUUAUUAUUAAUUACUAAUAUUAAAUAAAUAUAAUAGUAUUAUUUUUAAAUAAGUAUAAUAAUAUUAUAUUUUCAAAUAAAAAUAGAAUAUAGUAAUAUUAUUAAUUCUUUAUGAAUAUAAUAAUAUUAUUUUUAAGUAAUUUUAACUUAGAAUCAAUAUAAAUUAUUAUUUUUAACCAAAAAAUUAAUAUUAUUUUAAAUAUGUUUAAUAUUAUUAUUUUUAAUAAAUUUAAUUUAUAAAAUAAUAAAAUAUUAUUAUUUAAAUAAAUAGGAUUUUACUUAUUUUAUUAAAUUUAAUAAAAUAAAUAUGUUUAAUAUUAUUAUUUUUAAUAAAUGUAAUUUAUAAAAUAAUAUAAUAAUAUAAUUUAAAUAAAUAUGAUAUUAUUUAUUUUAUUUUAUUAAAUAUAAGGGUAAAAAAUGAAGAGAGGCGAGUGAAUUCCCACUCCCACCUUCCUCCAUGGGAGUGGGAAUCCUACUCCCCACUCCAAAAUUAGGUGGGAUCCACACAGUGGAAUUCUCACUCCUCCUUUGAAAAUUAUAAGUAAACAUUGGAGUAAAAGUAAUCCACACUCCUCACUCUCACUCCUUAAAAUAAACACUACAUUAAAGAAGCCACUGACUCAUAAGAAAACCAUGAUUAAGUACACGACGAAACAUGUGAGCUCGUUUUUCAAUUUCUUUGAUCACUCAUAAGCUUUUCUAUACCACUCACUAUAUCAUCCUUUUAAGUCAAUUUUGACUGAUCAUAAGAGAUUAUGCACCCCACCUUGAGAUGAUUGAUCACCAAUUUGGCAUUGUAACGUUGAUCACCUCUAAUUGGCCAUGCUAAAAUUGGGACCCCAUUGCCAAUUACUUCUACAGUUAAAUUUUAUCUACAGUGAGAUAAAAAUCCACCUAUUAAUUGAUAACUUAGUAUCAAUAAUUAUGGCGCCGUUCCAUCUAUUAUCAAACCCUUUUUACCGGCUCUACUAUCUAAACCACUACGAAAAUAAGCUGGUUAAAAAUAAAAAAUCCCCAGUUACUCUGCUCAAACUCGUUAAUAUUUGUUUCCACCACCAAAGCAGCCACUCGUAUCUUUUAUUAAGCAUAAUGUUUUUAAACAAAUAUGAUGAAAACUCUUAGGGCCAGUUUGGUAAUGCUGCAGCUUUUAAAAUAAUUGCUGUUAGCUGUGCUGUAGAAAUAAUCAGCUGUGAAGAGAAUCAGUUAAGUGUUUGGUAAAUUUUAUUUUCAAAAGUACUGUGAAUUUUGAAAGCAGUUAUGGGUGUUUGGUAAAUUUUAUUGUUAAACUGCUGUAAGAAAAUAAAUGACCAAAAUGUACAUAAUGUAAGAUGAAAUUUACCUAUACAUAUAAAAAUGUUGUAAGAAAAUAAAUUUACUUGCACUAGAGAAGUUUUGAUAGAACACAAAAUAUGAAGAAAUAGGGUAAACGAAAGGUGUGCGUUAAUUAUAAUAAAAAUUUAUUAAAAUAUUGAUUUUAUUUCUAAUUUAACUAAGGAUAAUUUCGGGUUUAAGUAAUAAUUGUAAGGAUAUUUAUGAAAUUAUAUUAAAGGAUAAAAUUGAUUCUCAAAAUCAGAAUCUAAAAGUUACUAUUUCCCUGCUUUUCAAAAUCAGUUGUAGGAGGAGCUGAUUCUGGCAAAAGUGAUUUUGAUUUUCUUUUACCAAACACCAAAAUUAGCUUUUAGAUUUUUAAAAUCACUUUUAACCCUCCCAAAAGCAAUCCCAAACGGGGCCUUAGAGUGGUAUUAUCCCAUGUUUACUCCAAUGAUUUGGUAUACGCACAUGUAUUUUGGUAUACGCACAUGCACGCUAUAAAUUUAGUCAAGAAAAGUGAAUGUAUCUACAUACAAAUACUUAUCCCAUAUAACUUCAUUUCUUCAACUGAAGAAUCGGUCGUCUCUCAUUUUUUAUUUAUUAUAUAAAGAUAAAUAUAUAAAUUUAAAUGGCGAGAAGAGCGGACGAGGAAUACGAUUACUUGUUCAAAGUGGUAUUAAUCGGCGAUUCGGGAGUCGGCAAAUCGAACUUACUCUCCCGAUUUACUCGUAACGAGUUCUGUUUGGAGUCCAAAUCCACUAUUGGCGUCGAAUUCACCACCCGCACUCUUCAAGUAACUAACUUUUCCUCUUUCACUUCUCUUCAUUUUUAUUAGUUAAUUAAGAUCCAGUUAAUGUAAUUAAUUUUAUUUAAUCUUUUAAAUAAAGUUCUAGAUUAGGCUAACUUAGAUUCAUGUCAAGUUGAAGUGAUUUACUUUCGAUCUCUUUUUCGUCCUAUGUUUAUUUGUACUUACUAUUACUUUUUUUUUGGGUAUUUUCGUUUUUGAAGUGUUUACUGAAUAAAUUUCUGAGCUUUAUUUGUGUAUGCUGAUUGAUUUGUGAUUUUAAUUUGUGAUUUUUUUUUUGGCAUUUAAAUUUGAAUGCUUUUUAAUUUGAAUCUGAAUGUGUUGGGCUGCGAUUUAAUUAAGUCAUGUGUGAGCACCAAAUUGUGAUAGCUAUAUAUUGGGGUGAAAAUUUGGGAUUUAAAGCUAUGUAUUUAAGAUGCAGUUAAUUGGCAAGUGAAAAUUAUGGGCCGGCAGAUUUUGUCAUUGGAAGACUGUUCUCCACAUGUUGAAGUUAGUGAUGCAAGUUGAAACCAAUCUGUUUAAGCUUGGGGUUUCAUGUCUUGAAUCAAGGCUGUGACUUGGGGUGGGUUGAAAGUAUUAUAGCUUUAGCUAUUCCUGAAGUGAUCUGUUUAGACUCACCGUGAUGAGACCGAGUGCUGUACAGUAAAAUGAAAGGAAGUUGGAAAAUAUUUACUUAGCAUUUCGCGUUACUAAUGUUGAACUAAUAAAACCUAGCCCCUAUCCUAGUGAAUUUAUGUUAAAAAGCUAUGCACGCAUUAAGUUAGUGCGAGAGUCUGCUGAAGCAUAUGUCAGCUGUGUGUUUGGAGCUGAGUAUUCUUCAUUCCACAUUUUGGGUUUUGGUUGACCUCCAGCAUGACUCAACCCACUUGAGUUAAAAGCCCUAGAGUUACAUUCUACCCAUGAUAUUUGAGUUUAUCAAGUCACCUUAUUUUAAUACUUCUCUGGAAAACAAAUAUAUAUGUUAAAUCAGGUAGGAAAAAUAAAAAGUUAAUUAUUUUAAUACUAAGGUUUUGAAACAUUAAGAUCUUUAGCCAUUAUGUUACUAUCCCGUAGUUAUUUAAGUUACAAGAGAUAGUAAAAAAUAACAUCAUAUUUUAAUUACUUACACUAAUCCUACAAGUGCUGAUGGUCUAAAGUUGCUGCUGCUUGCACUGAAUCAGUGGUCAUGGGCCAGCCAAGGUUAGGUGAGGCCAACUCAUUAGCUUGUGAAACUUAAAGAAGUCUUAGGUUUGGAAAAGAUGGGGCACAGGUUACAAAAAUUUUUUGAGUUUUGGAUUGAAGGAACAAAAUUGUUGAUGUCUAGCUCACAAUAUUUGAAGUCACUCUGUGCUUCAUCAUGUCAAAUGGAUUGAAUUGCUGUAAGAUCAGGUCAAAUUAAAAUGUUUAAACUCAUUUUUAAGAAACGAAUUCUCAAUUGGACCAGCCUUUCACAGAAGCUGAUAUCACAGAAGCUUUGAGUCAGAUGCAUCCAACCAAAGCCCUUGGCCCAGAUGGUCUCCCAGUAGUAUUUUUCCAAAAGCUUUAGAAUUCAGUAAGCGAAGGAGUUAUAGCCACUUGUCUGCAUAUCCUCAAUGAUGGAGGUAAUAUUGCUCCUUUGAAUCAUACAUACAUUGCUUUAAUCCCCAAGAUAGCAAAACCUAGGACUCUGAUGGAGUAUAGACCAAUCAGCAUAUGUAAUGUAAUUUAUAGGAUCAUUGCAAAGACUAUAGGGAAUAGGCUGAAGCUAAUCUUAGAUCAUGUUAUUUCGCCAACUCAGAGUGCUUUUAUGCCAAAUAGGUUCAUAACUGAUAAUAUAAUUAUUGGGCAUGAGUGUCUUCAUAAGUGGACAAAGCUAUGUUCCAGAGGUGAGAUAGGAAAUUCUCCCGCACGACACAGCAGAAACAAACUUUCCCUUUCAUUUUCUUUUCUCUUUCUCGCUCUCCAAACAGAGCAAAAGGACCGUCGGAAGAUUCUUCACUUCCAUCCAAAAUCAUGAGCAACGAAUAGUGAGCCUCCCUGUUUCCUUCCUUUUUUUGAUAUUAACAUUGUUAACAUAUACUCAUUUUAAUUUGACAAUACUUCAACUUUUUUUAUUUUUUUGCCUUUUCAUUUUUUUUGUUGAAGCAAUUAUCUGUUCAAGCUGUUGCUUAUCGAAGACUCGUCCUUCGGAAAGUCCUGCCUGCUGCUCCGAUUUGCUGUCUGUUGACUUUUCCUUUCCCUUCUUAUUUUCUUUUUUUAUAUUAAUUACUUUCUAUUUUAGCUUUUUGUUCUCUGAAUUUGUGUUAUUAAAAUGAUAAUUUAGAUGACAAAUAAUUGUUAUUCUUGUAAAUUUAGGUUUUCAUUACGUUAAUUGUUAGUUUUUAGGUUUAUUAAUGUAAUUUUUUUUGUUUUUUUUUUUUCAAUUUUUCAGGAUGAUUCUUAUGUCACCGCUACAUCAGUACCAUUGGAGUUGAUUUUGUGAGUCUCUCUUCUAUAUAUAUGUAUAUAUGUGUAUAAGUUAUAAUAUGAGUCUAUGUACGUGUAUGUAUGUAUGUGCAUGUAUAUGUGGAAAGAAAUGUUGGCAGACUUCAGCAUUUUACUCUUUUUUUUUUUUUUUUUUUGGGAGAAAAUAAGAACUGUGGAGUUGGAUGGGAAGACGAUCAAACUGCAGAUUGUGAGUCAAAAUUUCCUUUUAUCUUGUAUUGAGAGAAAUUCGAUUUGUCUUAUUUAGUGAAGGUUAUGUUCAAGAACCUUGUCUUAUUUUCUUUGUUUGAAGAGUGAUAUGUUGAAAUGAGUGUAUUUGUCUUAUAAACAUCAUUUAGGUAAUGUCUUAUGUGUGAUUGUUUUGCAUCUGUUGAGUGGGACACUGCUGGACAGGAGCGAUUCAGGACUAUAACUAGCAGUUAUUACCGAGGAGCCCAUGGAAUCAUAGUAAGGAGCCUUUCCGGUUCUUGGUUUAAAUCAGAAAGUUUGUGAUUUACAUGUGACAUCUUAACAGCAUUGUAUGUGUUUAUUAACUUAUUUUUCAUCUUUCGUUAAGCAGUACAUUUUCCAAUAAAUCUGUAUACAAGAUGAUGUAGUCCAAGAAUGGGAGCGAUAAUAUGAUGCAAAUUGUCUAAUAAAUUCUUAUGACAUAUGAUGUUGUCGGAAGUAAAAGUCUUGCAAUGCUGUAUUCUCUUUUAAGAAAGAAUAAGUGGUAAUCUUAUUUUUCCAAUUUUUUAAUUGAGCAACUGUGUGAGAUUAAUUAAAUGUGUUGGGAUUUCAACAGAUUGUCUAUGAUGUAACUGAGAUGGAGAGCUUCAAUAAUGUCAAGCAGUGGUUGAAUGAGAUUGACAGAUACGCAAAUGACAGUGUAUGCAAGCUUCUAGUGGGGAACAAAUGCGAUUUAGUUGAGAACAAGGUUGUGGACACACAGACAGCCAAGGUAUAUUCGUGACUUCUGUCGCCUGAACUUUGAAUAUAAUUUUAAACUCUUCUCAAGUGCAUUUGCUUGAUAAGUUUCUGCAUACCCAGGACACUCAAACUUUGGACAGUUUGUAUCUCAAGCUGGAAUCUUUUUUGUCAAUACGACUUGUUAAAAUAAGGGUUAUUAUCGUUUGAAUCCUUCAAGAAUUGCAAUAAAUCUAAAGUCCAUAAAAAAAUAUGAUUCCAUCUUUUUACUAUUAUAUCUAGACAAAACCCAUUAUUUUACUACAUUUCAUUGGCACGGAUAGUUGACCUGUUGGCUGACUGAUAAAAUAUCAAUUUUGCACUUUAUAUUAAUUCUUUUUUGGUUAAAAAAUAACACACAAAGUAUUACAAUAUUAUAAAUUCAAAAUAUAAAGUAGUUACAAAUAAUUCCUAUUAGCCUAUGAAUAUAAUAUUUGAUACCUCUAUUUGUGUAAUUUUUUUCCAAUGGUGAAAUUGUUAUUUUUUUUUGUACUAACGGAAAUGUAGUAAAAUCAUAAGUUUUGUAAAGAUAUAGUAGUAAAAUGAUAGACUAAAAUACUUCUUGUAGUUGUUUGAUAUAUUGUAAUUCUUAAAGUAGUCAAUUGAUAAUAUCCCCUAAAAUAAAUGUUCGUAAUAUGUUCUCAUUUUAAUGCAACUGAUUGUUUAAUAAAAUUGUAUUUCUUUGUUAAUCUUUUAUCAUGUGCAUGCUCAGUGAGAAUUUGACUUACUAGAACACAAGUUUGACUCUUCAUUUAAAUGUCUCUUGUAUCAUAUCCUUUAAUGUUGAGUGUGAUUCCAAUAAAAUUGAGUAGGGAGAUCCUUAAAUACCUUUUCCUUUUUUCCAAGGGCCUGCCAAAUUGCUCUAAGUGGUUCUACCCUUUAUCAAUGAAUAAUGAAAAUAAAAUUUUUAUUAAAGCAUUUUGUUCCUUAAAUGGUGACUAAUAGUACCCCUUUUUUUUGGAGAGGAAAGCCAAACAUGCCCAAAGAGAAUCAUUUACUUUCCUCUAAUGUAUUUUCUAAUUCGUUUUGAGCCUUGAAUGUCUGUUUUGGUGCGUAUUCUCAUUCCAUGUUGAAUCUUAUCCAUAUGGACAACCCCACUUACAAAAAAGUCUAAUGAAUCUAUUGAAGUUCAUAUGAGGUUUGUGCUUUAGAUUUAGACCUCUCUCUCUCUCUCUCUCUCUCCACUUACAUGUCUUUCACUUACCUGUCUUUCACUUACCUGUUUGCAUGCAUGCCCAUGCACACACUUUCACGAUAAUACUGUAGGGGAAAAAUCAUGUUUUUAAAUUUUAUAAAACCUUUUGAAGAUCGCUCUCAUAUAAUAUAUAAGAAUUCGUAUUCUAGAAAUCGUACCUUGAAAAUCCGAGUUGGCUUUUCCACUGAAGUGAUUUAGGCUCCUAGAUCACGAUCUGCCACCACCACUCCUGUUAGAUCACGAUCCGUCAUCACCACGCUUGUUAGAUCACGAACUGUCGCCAAUGAUCUUCCAGGUUAUGACUCAGGUUCGAUCUGCACUUGACGUGUGGGCGCCUUUAUCACUGCCAAAGCAACUAGCACGAGAAAAUUUUUCUCUCAAUCAUGGAGAGAAAAAUCUUAUUCUCUGAUUUGUAUAAAGUGGCUUCUUCCUUUUUCUUUUGAGAAAAUAAGCCUUAUAUAUCUCCCUUUAGUGAAAACCCUAGGCUCCAAAUAAUGCCCUAAAUAAAACUCACGUUAUUUUCUUUUUCAAUAGGGAACCCACCUUGUAAAAUAACAUAAGGCCCCUUAUACAAAAGCUAAUUAAAUGGAGCCUCCCACUAAAUGAUAUAUUUAGGCUUUUGACCCAAAUAGCUAGUUAUCUUACUUAUUAGUCCAGUGGUGGUGCAGUCAAUUAAAUGAGCUAACCCGGGGAUCAUUUGGGAACAUACAAUAGUGGCUACAAUAAUUAGGCCUGUAAUUAAACUAGCCUAAUUAUUUAAUUCCAAAUCUACUCCACUAAAAGAUUGGAACUGACUUCCAUAAUUGUAUGCUCGAAUAAUAAUUCGUCCCAAGCCACAUUGAUUUCUUUAGUGCACAAUCCUUUGUACCACAUCGUUAAUUAAAUUGAUAUCUCAACUGUCCAAUCAAUUUAAUAACAUCUUAUUCCUUGAUCCUUACUGGUUUUCUCUAAUGAUCAUUUUCAACAUACUAAAUAUGUUGACACACUCUGGCCAGAGAAUUCUAUGAUCAAGUGCCGAAAACCCAUCAAGAGAUGUGUUGUACAAAUUCUAUAUUGUUAAUCCAUAACUCCAAUACUCAUAAUUGCUCCCACCAAGAUACCGGGUAAUCUUGACCACAAGUAUGUGUUGUGUCCAUUGGUAACUCAAAUGGAAUAACAAUUACAAUCAUGAAAUCAUAAUUAACUCAAGAUUAAGAUUACAGUAAAAUCAACGCCUAUGAGAUUUAAUAAGUCUGACAGUUAUUACAAAGUUAAUUAAAUCUCACAUGUGAUCCUGUUCAAUGUAGUCGUACUACAUCAAUAAAUUCAUACAUGAUUAAGACAAAUCAUUCAAUGAAUUUAUUACAGUCUAUACCUAAAUAAAGUGCCCAACUUUAUUUAUCAACUGCGAACUAAAUUUAUUUAAUCAUAAGAUAACUUGUAUUUAUGUCUUCUGUGAAUCCACAUGGUGAUCACAUAAAUACAUAUAAUAUGAUUAAAUGGACUUUAAUACAAAUAUUAAUGCAAUUAAGAUAUUUGAAUAAAAUACCUCAUUUAUUUUAUUAAUCAGAAAAACUGUUUAUUACAAUUAAAUAAACACAUAUGCUUUUAAAGAGCAUAUUUUCCCAACAAAUACACGGUCACUCGUACUUGUGUUUUGGUUGAAUUACUGGCUGCUAACCUCUGUAAUUCAGUUUGAAACUUGCCACCCUUAGUGCUUCACUCAAAUGGUUGGUUAGGGUGAGAUCUGUAUCGUUUUCUUGGUCUCUUUCCAAGGUUAUCUAAAGGGAUUUGGCAGUCUGAUUCUUUAGGGAAUAUCAUUGCAUAAGAUAUCUAUUGUUUGUUAAUGAAUAAUUUCUAUUUAACUAGUUAUCUAUAUAAAUUGGUAAAUUUUAACUGCAUAAUUUGCAUGCAAUAAGAUUUUAUAAGAAUCUUGUUUUCAACUCAUGACUUAGACUAAUGUGAUAUGUUGAGCAUUAAGCUACAAGAUCUGCACAUCAAAGUGCUUCACAAUGUUAAGGAGAAAGCAUCUUUUUCUGCUUCUUCAUGUGAUUUAAAGUUUCCAAGGUACUUAUCCAAUAAAAUAUCUUUCAAGACUUUGGAAAUGCUUUUAUAUAUGACUGAGAGAAACUUGUUGGGUUGGUUUUUAGCAACAGACGGAGUUAUGGACUUUGUGUUGACUUGUUAUUGAUUAAGACAGUACAUCGGCUGAUCUAUUGGCAUCAAGCAGCAGAUGCAGAAAUUAUGGGUGGCAUACCAUUGUAUCCAAAUAACAUACUACAUUGAUUUUUCUGACUUUCUGUUGGUCUCCGAGUGAAAUGCAGGCAUUUGCAGAUGAACUGGGGAUUCCUUUCCCGGAGACGAGUGCCAAAGAUGCAAUCAAUGUGGAGCAGGCUUUCUUGACCAUGGCUGGCGAGAUUAAGAAAAAGUAAAAUCACUUAACUCUUUCCUUCUUGCCGACUGUUCUUAUUUAACAAUCACUAUUAUUGCUGGUUAUAUGCAUUGUGAUGAAAAUUCUGCAAUGAGUAACUUUUUACCUAAUGUUUUCUGUUGGAACAAAUUACUCUGGUAGAAAAGCCCUACAGGGUUUGAGAAAUCCCAUGAUGUGAUGAUUGUGAGCAUUUUAGACACCGUCUAUGGGUUUAUUUUGUGACUAUAAAAUGUUAAGAUUGUUUCUAGUUUUGGUUUGUAGUGCAUAAAAGGAUUCAAAAUUUGACAUCUGUCUAAAUCAGAUUAAUAACAUGAUAAUGUACAUAUGCAAGAUGUGAGGAAUUGUUUUAUCUCACCCCUAAACUUUAAGAAAUUGAAACAGUAUUAUUCAAAAUAUUUAACAUUUCCAGAAUUGAUAGUUGUCUAUUUGAGCAGUGACUGGUGGUUAUCAUGAACUGAUGUGCGGUUGUGGUUUCAAAUCUUGGUGAAACCUGUUGUCCUAUGCUGAUUAACAUAGUUAGUCUCUGAAACAAUUUGUUGAUUCACUAAUUAUGAGUUAAAAUUUGAUGCAGAAUGGGCAACCAGCCUACUGCAAACAAAUCUUCUGGAACAGUUCAGAUGAAGCGAAUGCCAAUCCAGCAAAACAGCGACUGUUGUGGUUAGCCGAGCAUCUUAUUUUACUUCUACAUGUUAGCUGACUGAUUGUAGACAGUUUUAACUAUGUUGACUGCAUUAUCUUAUGAAUCUUUUAAUCUGUCAAAUAUUUAUUUCCUGCUUUAAGUUCUUUCCCGUUUAUAACAAAUUUAAUUUCUUGCUCCAUUGGAUUCCAAAUUCCUGUCAAUUUACGAGGGAAAAAGAAAAGAGAGACGAAAUGGGAGAAAAUGGUCAAAUUUGUUAGGCGGAGAGAGCUGUUUAAGUAGUUUUUGUUCUCGUUUAUUGUCGUGACCCUCAUGUCGCUUAUCGAUUACCUGGAAGUCCGGUCGUAUCGGAUGGGUAAAGUUACCGAAUCGGCAUCAUUUUGGGUGAAAUAUCAUAUUUAUGUGACACUUUUGAUAAUAUUUUUAUGUGUUACAGAGUAUGAUAAUAUGGUACAGCUGAGAGCAUCUGAUUAAAUGGAGCUGCUGAUGCUUACGUGUGUUGUUGAGUUAGUUAUCCAGCUCAGCAGUAAAGAUAACGAACUGGACUGCAUGCAUAUUAGAUUCAACAAACUGACAAGCUACGAGAUGCCUCUGAUCUUUUACUAUAAAUAACAAGUUGUAAUCAUCAGUCAAAUAAUAAGAAUAUGAUCAUUUUCAGAUCUGAUUCUUUAUGAUUUUCUUUCAUUUUCUUGUUAGUUUCUCUUAAACCAAACACUAUAUACAAACUCUUUCAUGGUAUCAGAGCAAACAAAUGGCAAAUUCGAAUCAAAAUUCUGGAUCCUAUAGUUUUAUUACUCCGAUAAAACUAGAUCAUAAUAACUUCAUUGUUUGGCGAACUCAGAUUCUCACAUCCAUUAAAGGAAAUGGUUUAGAAGAUUUCAUCAAUGGAAAUCAAGUCUGUCCGGAAAAAUUUUUCUCUGCUACAAGCUCUGCUGCUGGUUUCUCAUCUGGAACAGAUAAUCAAGAGAUCAAUCCAGCUUACACAAUGUGGAUAAAGACGGAUCAAUUGAUUCUGAGCUGGAUGCUCUCAUCUAUUCAACCGAAUUUGCUGACAACUGUGAUCCACUGCUCAACUGCAAAGGAACUGCUGGAUACACUUACAAGUAUGUUUGUUUCCCAGUCACAAGCUAGAAUAAUGCCUCUAAAAAUGCGAAUCCAAACUCUUAAAAAAGGCUCGAUGUCCAUAACUGAUUAUUUUGCAAAAAUGAAAAGGAUAUCUGAUAGCUUAGCUUUAGCUGGAAAACCUGUUGAAGUGAAUGAUUUCGUUCAACAUGUUUUGACUGGAUUGGAUUCUUCUGAUUAUGAGUCACUAGUUACUACUGUGUUAGCUAGAGGAGAUAAUAUCAGUCUUGAUGAGUUUUAUUCAUUGUUAUUGAGUCAUGAAAAUCGUGUGGAACAAAAGAGAGGAAAAAUUGCAAGUGAUGUUACACAUAACUUGUCAGCUAAUGUUGCUCAAAAGCAGUUCAAUCCUGGUAAAAACACUAGUGGUAAUCAGAAGUUUAACACUGGAUCGUAUGGAGGAGGUUAUAAUUCUGGAGCUGGAUCUAGUGAUGGUAACUUCUCACAAAUUGUAUGCCAGAUCUGCUUCAUUCCUGGUCAUGGUGCCAAUAAAUGCAGGAAUAUGUUUAACUCAGCUUUUGUUCCUUCAAGAAAUCAAGGAAGAGGUAGUUUUAAUGGAAAUUUUAGGCCUGGUCAGAGGCAGUAUGGUAGAGGUUUUGGCUAUGCUAAUGGAAAUAGGUCUUCUAUGGCUUAUGGAAAUUUUGGUAAUUUUGGUAGAAAUCUUAAUCCUCAAUAUGGUGCUGGAAUUGGUAACUCUCAGUUUGGUAAUUUCAACAUACCAAGAGCACCUGGUUAUCAAGGUCAUUUGAUGUAUUCAGAUCCAACUGCUUUCAAUGUUUAUCAACCAUCUAACUCUCAUGGUGGUUACUCUCCUGCUCAUGUUUUUGUUCCUACUGGAGAUUACUCUGGAUCUCCUUCAGUCCCUGUUCCAACUCAUGCACCUGAGAUGAUUGAAGAUCCAGCUUGGUACAUUGACAGUGGUGCUACUAACCACAUCACAAAUGACUCAGGUAAAUUACUGGAUCUCAAGCCAUAUGUUGGCACUGACAAAUUGCUUGUUGGGAAUGGUUCUGCAUUGCAUAUUAAACAUAUUGGAUCAGUAUUGCUAGCUACUACUGCAAAUAAACCCUUGUGUUUAAACCAUGUUCUUCAUGUUCCAAAUAUUAAGAAAAAUUUACUCAGUGUUUCAAAGCUCUUAGUAGAUAACAAUGUGACACUUGAGUUUUUUGCAAAUGUCUGUGUUGUCAAGGCCAGGAACUCAGGGAUCACUUUGCUUAGAGGAAUUGCAACAGGGGGAUUGUAUCAAGUCCAAUCUGCAACUCAAGUCUCUGAAACUAGCUCAGCCUUGUCAUGUCAACUUUCUUCCAAUAAACCUCAGUCUUUGUUUGCUUUUCAUUCUCCUUUGUCUAGUGAUAUUUCUCCUGAAAUAAGUAAGAGUACUUUGUCUCAUCAUUUGCUGUGUAAAUCAGCCUUGGCUGUCAAUACUAGCUCAGUCGAUGUCAAUGUUUUCCAUAAAAGGCUAGGACAUCCUGCCUUACACACACUCAAAUCUGUAUUGAAAGCUUGUAAUAGUUUCAAUGUACUCAAUAAAACUCCAAACUUUUGCAAUGCCUGUCAACAUGGUAAAAGUCAUCUUUUACAUUUUGGAUCUGUUCCAACAAAAACAACUGCACCAUUACAACUUAUAUAUGCUGAUUUGUGGGGACCAUCACAUGUUGCAUCCACUCAAGGCUAUAUAUACUAUCUGUCCAUUUUAGAUGAUUUUAGCAGAUUCACAUGGAUUUUUCCUUUGACUGCUAAAUCAGAUGCUCUCCAAGUCUUCACAGAAUUCAAAUCCUUUAUUGAAAAACACUUACAACAACUCAUCAAAAUAGUUCAAACAGAUUGGGGAGGGGAGUUUAGAACCUUUGCAUCAUAUCUCACUCAAUUUGGAAUUCAGUUCAGGCACCCUUGUCCACAUAUCCAUCAUCAAAAUGGAAGAAUUGAGAGAAAACAUAGACACAUAGUUGACAUUGGCCUCACUCUGUUAGCUCAAGCUAAUUUACCACUUAAGUUCUGGUGGAAUGCCUUUCAUACUGCUGUAUUCCUUAUCAACAGACUACCCACACCAACUUUGAAUAACAUUUCACCUUAUCAAAAACUUUUUCAGCAAGUACCAGAUUAUGCCUCUCUUAGGGUCUUUGGUUGUGCUUGCUUUCCUUAUCUCAGACCUUAUAACAGACACAAGCUCAGUUUUAGAUCAAACAGAUGUGUUUUCAUUGGGUAUAGCUCUUCUCAUAAAGGGUAUCAGUGUCUUCAUUCAUCUGGUCGUGUGUAUGUGUCCAAUCAUGUCAUCUUUGAUGAACAAUCCUUUCCAUAUGUAUCUGGAUCAGACUUCUCUUCCAUUGCUCAGUCUUGCAGUCCCUUAGAUAUUUCUUCAGAGUCCAAAGUUACUCUUGUUCCAAUCCCACAAGUACAAUCCCCCCUGCAAGAAUCUCCAGCAAGUGAUUACCUACCUGCUGACACUCCACAGGUAUUCUCUCCAUCUUCAACCUCCUCUUCAUCAUCUACUUCAACAUCACAUACACAUCCUAUACAUCAUACACAAUCUCCUCCUCAUAUAUUACCUGCUGCACCACCUAUAGGUCAUCCCAUGAUAACCAGAUCCAAGGCUGGUAUCUUUAAGCCUAAAUCUUUUUUAGCUGCUUUACUAGCCAUACCUUCAGAACCUACUUCUGUUUCAGCUGCUUUAUCUGAUCCAAAAUGGUUUAAGGCAAUGCAAGAAGAAUUUCAAGCACUUCAGAACAAUCAUACAUGGGAUCUGGUCUUGCCAAGUGAACCAGUUAAGGUAGUUGGAAACAAAUGGAUAUUCAAGAUAAAAUAUCAUGCUGAUGGAACCAUUUCUAGAUACAAAGCCAGGUUAGUGGCUAAGGGGUUUCAUCAGACACAAGGAGUUGAUUACACAGAAACAUUCAGUCCAGUUGUUAAAGCAUCCACAGUCAGAGUUAUUUUAAGUUUAGCAGUUCUGAAUAAAUGGGAGCUCAGACAAGUGGAUGUGAAUAAUGCUUUUUUGAAUGGCAUAUUAGUUGAAGAUGUGUACAUGGGGCAGCCAGAGGGCUUCAUUGAUCCAUCUCGACCUCUUCAUGUCUGUAAGUUGAAAAAGGCUCUCUAUGGUUUAAAACAAGCCCCCAGGGCAUGGUUUGAGAGACUGAAAGAUGCUAUGGUUGUGAAAUGGGGUUUCCAAAAUUCAAGGUCAGACAACUCCCUUUUCUACAAGUGGAUAGGUGAUCAAGUAAUUUUUGUUCUUGUCUAUGUGGAUGAUAUAAUCAUAACAGGCUCAAGUGAUAAAAUGGUGCAGCAAGUGAUCACAAAUAUGCAAAAUGCUUUUGCUUUGAAGGAUCUGGGAAAAUUGAGUUAUUUUCUUGGGAUAGAAGUUACCAAAACAGCAUCUGGAAUUUAUCUAUCUCAAUCUAAAUACAUAGCUGAUAUUCUAACCAAACACAAUAUGGCUGACUGCAGUCCAGUUCCUACUCCCAUGGCCACUGGUCAUUAUCUUACAAAGGGGUCAGGAAGUGUUAUUUCAAAUAGUUCUCAAUAUAGAAGUGCAGUUGGAGCCUUACAGUAUGUGACUCUCACUAGGCCAGAAAUAGCUUUCUCUGUAAACAAACUUAGUCAGUUUUUAGCUUCACCAACAGCAGAGCACUGGGAGGCUUGUAAGAGGCUUCUUAGAUAUUUGAAAGGAACAAUUCAUUUUGGAUUACAUUUUUAUCAUUACGGCACUAUGCAGAUAAAUUGUUUUAGUGACUCAGAUUGGGCAUGUGAUAAGGAUGAUCGCAAAUCAGUGGCUGGUCAUGCUGUUUAUCUUGGUUCAAAUUUGGUUUCUUGGUCGUCUAAGAAACAGGCAGUAGUUUCCAGAUCAAGCACUGAAGCUGAAUAUAGAGCUUUGGCUCAAGCUACAGCUGAGGUUACUUGGAUUCAGUCCUUACUGAAAGAGCUACAUAUUCAUCUUGUCACAGCCCCCAUAAUGUGGUGUGAUAAUCAAAGUGCCAUAGCUUUAGCUCACAAUCCUGUUUAUCAUGCUAAAACUAAGCAUGUUGAGCUUGAUAUUCACUUCAUCAGAGACAAAGUAACAGCUAAGCAAAUUACAUUUCAGUUCAUUCCCAGUGAAGACCAAAAUGCCGAUGUUCUUACCAAGGCAUUAACUUUUAAUCAGUUUCACUAUCUAAGAAGCAAGCUGAAUGUCCAUCCAGGUCAGUUCAGCUUGAGGGAGGAUGUUACAGAGUAUGAUAAUAUGGUACAGCUGAGAGCAUCUGAUUAAAUGGAGCUGCUGAUGCUUACGUGUGUUGUUGAGUUAGUUAUCCAGCUCAGCAGCAAAGAUAACGAACUGGACUGCAUGCAUAUUAGAUUCAACAAACUGACAAGCUACGAGAUGCCUCUGAUCUUUUACUAUAAAUAACAAGUUGUAAUCAUCAGUCAAAUAAUAAGAAUAUGAUCAUUUUCAGAUCUGAUUCUUUAUGAUUUUCUUUCAUUUUCUUGUUAGUUUCUCUUAAACCAAACACUAUAUACAAACUCUUUCAUUAUGCAAUAAAAAAAUGCUCAUGGUACCCGUUUCACAUUGUGAAGCGCAUGAUCAGAUCAGAGCAGUCUGGAUUCUGGCAUCACAAGCGGAUGCUUUGACUUGCUUAGUUUGUUUUUUGUUUCUGAUAAUUUCUCGACAUUGGGUGGGAUAUUGUUUCUCUUUUGAGUUUCUCUUUUUAUUUUUUAUCUUAUGGAAUUUGGAGAUAGUGUAAAUGUAUGAAGAUGACGUAAUCAAGUUGUUUUGAUAAAUUCCCCUGGUCGGUUUACUUCACUAACCAUUAAUGCGCAAAACCUCCUAAUGACCCUCAAAAAUCCCGUACAUAAUUAAAGAAUUUCAAUUUUAUAUGUACAAAAAUAAAUAACUCUCAAAUAUAUUAUUUGAUAAUUCUCAAAACAACAAUUCGCUCUAAUAAAUCUCGUAGGAAAUACAUAGUCUAUAUUGUAAGUCUUUUCGAGACUAAUUCAAAGAGAAAAUACGAAGGAUAUAUAAUUGACCUUUAUCUGUCAUAAAGAACUCUAAAUAAAUUCAUAUACGCAUCGCAACUAAUUACAGUUUUGAUACUUCAUUUGGUUUUUGUUAAUUUUCUAUACGGUUGUGCUGUGCAUAAAAGUUUUGUUAAAUGAAAUCGGUGAGGGUUAAUUAAUCAAUUAAUUAAGAUCCAGUUAAUGUAAUUAAUUUUAUUUGAUUUUUUUAAUUCGAGUUCUAAAUUAAUCAAUUAAUUUAGAUUCAUGUGAAAUUGAAGUGAAUUAGUUUUGAUCUGUUUUUCGUCCUAUGUUUGUCUGUGUUUACUCUUACUUUUUUUUUGUUUAAAUUUUUGUUUUCUUAUUGUUUACUGAAUAAAUUUAUGAGCUUUAUUUGAGUAUGAUGAUUGAUUUGUGAUUCUAAUCUAAAUGUGUUGGGCUGCGAUUUAAUUGAGUGAUGUGUGAGCGCCAAAUAUUCAAUAACUGAUAAAUUAUAUUUAUAAAUAUUAAUAGCGAUGGCACAUAAACAAUUAAUUCAAGAACUUGCCCAUAGUGAUUAAUUUAAAGAGUAUAAGUAACAUUGCAGUACAGUUAGCCCUUACGUGUUUAAUUAGCAAUUGAAAACUACUGUUGCUGAUGAGGUAGAACAUUAUAACACUGUUGCUGAUGAGGCAGCUGGUAAUUCUUUUGGUGAAGAUAUUAAGACUAUUAAAGCUGAAAUGUAAUUAGAGAAAUAUAAUGAUUAAAGAGGUGAGCUUUGAUAACCAUCUCUUUAACUAUAUCACUUAAAUAACUAACUUUUUAAUAUUAAAGCUGAAAUUUAAUUUCCACUAUUUUUGAUAUUUGUUUGGCUAAUGCUUUGCUUAGAUUACUUUUUGUUUUUGAGAUUUUAUUGGCUUAGUCAUGGGAUAUUGUUUUCUCUUCUAAUUUCUAUCUUUAUUGUUAUGGGAUUUGAUUGUAGUGUUCAUAUACGAAAAUUAUGUAAUCAAGUGCUUUCAAUAAAUCAUGAUCGAAUUACUAUUAAUUAAUUAAAUUAAAUUUACUCAAAUUACUCAUGUACACGAUCAAAAUAAUUUUAAUUCUAUGAUAUAUAUACACGCGCGCACACACAAACAAAAUGUAAUUAAUUUUGAAAUACAAAAUAUUUAAAAUAAUCACCGUACUAACAAUUCACAAGUUAGAUUUUAUAUGAAUAGACAGAAAUAAUGUUAAUCUAGCAAAUCCAAUCAUAAUAAAUUGAUUUUUAUUUAUAUUAAUUAUGUCGAACCAUGCUAUUUUAAUAAAGAACACUCCGGUGUUUAUAUAUCCAACAGGUAAAAUUUCAAAACAAUAUUUGCCAAAGUCCGAUGAAAAGAAUAUACACGCACACACAUAUAUAAUCAUACAACAGAAGGAUAAAUAAAAAAAAAAAUGAAGUUUCAACAACUGAAUAAUGCAAACUCAUUUUUUUUAAACAAGCAUUUUAUUGUUUAAUUAAAAAAUUCGAAAACCCAUUAGCCUUAUAUACAUGAUAAAGACUCACCGACGCCGAACCAUAUUAAUUUAACUUAGUUUUCAACUGAAAUUUAAAUUUUGAAAUCACAUACACAAACACGCCCAAUUUGAAAAAAAAAAGUAGUAAUCAUAAAAUAUUUCAAUCGUCCAUUGUUCAGUCACCAAAAACCAAUUUACGAUCUAUUUCAACGCCUAAUUUGAAAAAAGAAAAUACUAAUAAUAAAAUAUUACAGUCGUCCAUCCUUUCACAAAUAAAAAAUAUCACCAUAAACAUCGGGUAUAUGGGCUAACAAGUCCCAAUAUUGUCCUCCAUCCUUUCUGCACUUCUCUUCUAUCAACGGACACUGAUUGAUACUUAAUUGCAAAAGUGAGGAAGGCAGGCCCUUCUCCGGAAAGUAUUUGAGCUUGGGACAAUUCUGGAGUCGCAAUGAAGUGAGGUUUUGAAGAUCAACAAUUGAAGAAGAUAGGCGUUCCAGAUUUGGAAAAUUGAAAAUCUCCAGAGAUGUUAGAGAGGGAGGAAGAGGAAGCGCGGUCCCUAAUCUUUUGUCCUCUAGUGGAAAUGACACCAUGUCGUCAUCGCAUCCUUCGAUACGUAGACGUCGCAGAGAGGAGAAUCUGUGAAAUCCCCGGCCCCGCUCAAUCAUUGACUUCCAAAUCUCCAUAUUACCCCGAAUAUCAAGUGAAUGAAGGUUGGUGGGAAGGCCAUCAUCUUCUUCAAGGCUUGGAAGCGCACCUCCUAUUCUUAAUUCUUGAAGAGAGGUCAGAUUGUGCAAUCCCUUGGGUAAGGCCUCUAGUCUCUUACAAUCAGUUAUCUCCAGCCUCGUGAGUUUCGCACAAGGCAAUCCCCCUUCGGGAAAGGACACCAGAUUUCCACACCUCAUUAUCCGUAUGUCUCGAAGCUGGCGGAGAUUAUGUAAACCACUCGGUAAACUUUUCAGAUUUUCACAAUCAGGAAUGUAGAUUGUUUCAAGAGAUGAGUUGUUGUCCAACAUUUCUGCUAUUGACUCCAGCUUUGAACAUCCCCGAACUAAAAGGGACUUAAGAGACGGAGGUAGAUUGCCAACUUCAAGGGACUCAAGCGUGGCAGGUAACUCGUUUUUUGAAAAUAUACAUGUCAGAGACGAACAACUCUCAAUGUGUAAGUGCUCAAGAAGAGAUGACGUGUACCUUCUGCUGCUUCUGCUGCUGCUACACUGGAUGCCCUCUUCCACUGUCAAAGUCCUUAUAUUAUGGCAACCGCAGAUCUUCAAAUUCUUAAGGCUCGAUGGUAGCCUGACAGCAGCAAUAUAUGUCAACGAACAACAAUAGUGAAUAUUCAAGAUCUCGAGAGACGAAUUGGUGUCGCACAUCCAUGCCUCUGGUAACGAUUUCAGUGCAUCACAUGCUCCAAUAUGAAUUUUCUUCAACUUGGAAGGCAGAGCAACCUCAGGAAAGGAAACAAGGGAACUGCACUUGUAGAUUGCUAUCUCUCUCAAGGAACUGAGGCUGAACGAUGAUUGUGGCAGCUUCACAAGGCUUUCGCAAUCACUCAAUUCUAGAUAUUCAAGUCUGCAUGACAAUUCGCAGAGCUGCUGUUGUUGGUCUUUCUUUUCCUCCGCCACCAAGGAUUGAAGUUUGGGACAGCUGUCAAUCGUCAGUCUUUUGAGAGAGCAAAUGUCUUGCAGUAAUUCGUUAUGACUCUUCCAUAUAUGUGUUUCAUUUUUAAUAUUUUUUAUCUCCAAUUCUUCCAGUUUUGGUAUUCGCAGCUUCAAUGGCCCUGCGAGAAACACUUGAUUUGAUGUAUCUCUACAAACCACUGAAUUCUGUGAGCCGAGAUGAUCAAUUGCACUUCUCCACACAACCUUUUUACAUCCAUCAAUCUCUAAUUUGCAAAGAGCUGGAAGACUCGUAACUGAAACUGACAAUUCUUCACAUCCUCGAAUAACAAGCAUCUCCAAUGCAGGAAGGCAUUCUGGCAAUGUUCCUUGCAGUUUAGAACAUCUUAAAAUGCUAAGCUCUCUCAAUUUAGGAAACCCUUCAACUCCCUGACCAGAUCUAAGAGGAAUCCAGUCUUCCCAUUCUCGCAGGUCUUCAAAAUGAAGAGUCUCCAAGCAUGGAAAAGGAAUCCGAGAAUCAUUCCCAUAGAACUCUGAACCCAAACUCUUUACUCUACUCAUUCCACCCACUUCAAGAUGCUUUAGAGAGGGUAGUUGCCCGACUGACGGCAGGGUAGUACACACGCCACAAUCUUCAAAUUUAAGUGUUACUAAAUUUGACAAUGAGGAAUCUCCUAACCAUGUUGGAAAUUUUGUACCUCCAUAGCCACAGACACAAAAUUGUUCCAGAUUUUCAUGGGGUUUGAGCAUGUCAAGCACGCCCAUUUCAGUUUCUGCCUCCCUUGAAGAUGAACCAUCGGUGCUGCAAGUCCAAUUAAGCGAUAAUUCUCUAAGAUUCUCCUUUACAUCCAACCGAGCCUCCUUUGCAUCACCAAUGUCUUUUACAUUCCCUAAAUUUGAAAUUUUAAGUGUCCCCUGAAGAUGUAUCAAUGACUUUAGCUCUCGUAACCCAGAACCAUUGUCUUUUCCCACAGCAAAAUUACUCAAAGUCUGAAGACAAGUCAGCUUACCAAUUCCUACUGGCAUUUCCUCCAACGAAUCUGUAUUUGAAUUAUUGAGAUGAUGCAAUUUGAUGAGGUUUCCCAUGGCUGCACACAACUUCUUCAGUCGCCGACAGUCUUCCAACAGAAGGGUGUGCAAAUUGUAAAGCUUGCUGACUGAUUCAGGCAGAGUUUUAAUCUCAGUUCCAGACAGGUUAAGGUGCCUUAAAUACCUCAAAUCACCAACUGAAUCCGGCAGCUCGGAGAUGUGAUAUCCACGCAAAGAGAAGACCCUCAACCGUUGGAGUUUGAACAACUUAGGAAGAAUGCUACGAGCCAAGUAUCCACGCGAACUCUUUGUCAACAUUACUGGUAAAAAAGUUCGCAAAUGUUGGAUAUCGUACAAGCCCUCAAACCUUUGAACGCCAUCACAAAAUCCGCGAAUGUAUGACAGGUGACGAAUAUUUUUGGAAAAACUUUGUUGCUUGUUAACCUCUGAGGUAUACUCCAUUGUGAAGUAUAUCUCCCCCGCAGCCCAUUGAGCAAGGUCGUUGACAAGGUCGUGCAUCACAAAUCGUGAUUUAUUGUUGCUUGAUUGCUGGAAAAAAGAUCUUGAACGUAGCUCUUGAAAGAACUUUCGACCUAGAUCUUCAAUAGGAUUCCCACUCUCUUUGUGAUCCAAGAAACCCGAAGCACACCAUAAUAAAAUUAUCUCCUCCUCUUCAAAUUCAUAAUCCUUUGGAAACAAUGAGCAGUAUUCAAAGCAUUGUUUCAAAGGUGCCGCAAGAUAAUAGUAGCUCACUCUAAGCGCCGGUAUAAUGUCACAUCUCUCUUCGGGUAAAUCCCAUAUCUUGCAACUGAGCACACCUUCCCAAUCACUCCGGUCAAGUUUACCACGUAAGAGACCACCAAGAGUUUUCGCAGCUAAGGGCAAGCCGUUGCAUUUGAUCACUAUCUUCUUGCCAAUUUCCUCCAAUGACUUGUUUGAACUGAAAUCUCUUGUCCCCAAAGAGUGUUGAGCGAACACAGACAGACAAUCAUCAUUUGACAGCUUUUUCAAUUGAUAAGCCGGAGCAGUCCCCAUGAUGGCUGCAACCCCUUGAUUACGAGCUGUGACAAUAAUCUUACUUCCCGGUGCGCCAGCUUCAAAUGGAGGUCUGAGUCGAUCCCAAUCAUUGUAAUUCUCAUUCCAAACGUCAUCUAAAACAAGCAAAAAUUUCUUUUGAGAUAACUUCUUCUUCAGCUCCUCUUGAAGCUUAUUCAAGUCGUGAUUAUCCACAUUCUGGUCACUAGCAAUUGAAAGUAGGAUUGAUUUUGUAAGCCUGAUAACAUCAAAAUCAUCAGAGACGCAAGUCCAUGCCUUGAGAUCAAAAUGAUCCUGCACUUGCUUAUCAUUGUAGACAAGCUGAGCGAGAGUGGUUUUGCCCAGCCCGCCCAUACCAAUGAUAGGAAUAACAGAGAAUUCACCAUCAUUUCUCAAAUCAUCCCUCAACAACAAUUCAACAAUUUCCUUCUUUUCUGUUUCCCUCCCAUAUACCUUGGCUUCAUUCACCAAAGAGGUUGUGGGUAGUCUUUGCCUAUCUUUUUUGGACCUCCCAACUGAACUUACGUUCAAACCCAGCGAGUCUUUCUGUGUUACAAUAUCUUGAAAUCUGUCGUUGAUCUCUUUGAUUUUGGACAUUAUGGCGUAAUCGAACUGAAUCGAUUGUGGAGUAAAAGUGGUGCAGCAGGUAGGAAUGAGCUUCCGAAACUUACUUGUUCUUGUACGACUGCUACUGGGUUGAUCAAGAGCAGCAGCUGGAUCUCGAUUUCCAAGCAGCAACUUCCUCCGGAAAGCCUCAGUUUGAAACUCAUCCAGCAAGUCUUCAACAUCAAAAGCCAAGUUCUGAAGCUCGCCAAGCCACAACUUCACAGACUGAUCAGUCUUCUUCUCCUCAGCAUCAGCAAGCACCGCCUUGAUCAUCACCAACAUAUUCUUCCACUUCUUUAGGUCGGCUUGGAUUUGCUCUUGGCGUGCAAACAGCCGAAUACCCUCUGAAGCUAACUUAUUGACCAGCAAAUCAACGGACGCCGUAAGGAUUGCCUCUCCGAUGAAUGACAUUUUUUUUCUUUUUCUUUUUUUUUUUGGUUUUGCAAAGAAAGAAAGGAGCAGAAUUAUGGGUUAUGGAAAGCAGAAUGAGAAAAUGGAACAGGUGAGAAAAUGGAUAAUUAAUCAGAACGAGUUUGUGAUUGUGAAGGGUCUGGCCCAGCAAGCUUAGUAGAAAUCACGCGUUUAUACUUUAUUGACCAAUGACUAAUAAUUUGGCAAUUCACUCAUCACCAUUCACCGCCACUUGGUAAGCAAAAUGAAAAUGCUUGGUAAUUAAGUGUGGUCAAGCAAAAUACGACGUAAAAUGUGUCAAGGGUCUCCCCACUUGUUGUUCCUUGCAGCUUAGAAAAGAAAAACAGAGCCCACCACCCAUUAAUAAUUUAGCAAUUCACCAAUCAUCACCACUUGUUACGAAACCAUCUCAUAAACCAAGUUCGUAGGUCGAGCGGUUAAUCCAGUGUCUAUUUCCUAGAACCUUCAUCUCAUAAACCAAGUUCAAUCAAAACGUUCCUCUCUCUAUUUUUUUUUUUUUAAAAAACUCCUAAAACGUUUCUUUUUAGAAAUAUUUUACUUUAUUCAACUAAUAUGAUAUCUAACAAAUAGACACAAUUGAAUCACUCUAAAGUGAAGAUGAAAGGGGAAAAAAAUAACCUUCCAACUACCAGUAAUUUAGCAAGCUUCACUUUAUUCCACCAAAGUGUAAAUAAAGCCAGCCCCCACCACCAUCAAUAAUUUUGCAAGCUUCACACGCUUGUUGUCUUCUCCUUGACGAACUGGACAUGAGUGGACCAAGAACCAAUGACAGAAUUUUAAAAAUAAUAAUAAGAGAAAAACCUACACAUUUUCGACUUAGAGUAGAACCAUAAUUAAUGCUAAAAUCUACUCAGCUAACAUUUUCAAAAUAUUGUUCUUUAUGAUUUUCAAAACCUUGAUUAAGGUUCAUCUCAAAUGUUUGAAGAGAGUCUAUCAAUUCUUCUAUGCUAAAAAUAUCAAAAUUCUUACUUUUUCUUCAAACAUUGAAUAAUAAAAAAAAAAGUUGAAUAUGGAGGAAAGUAGAAUGCAUCCAUCUUCGCUGUAGAAGUCUUCUACUUAUUAAAGCAAGUUAGAAUAAAAGAUUUUAAUCUCUCUUUUUAUUCCUGUAAGUGCACUACAUUUUUUUUUAAUCUCAAUGCGAAGUCGUAUCAUAAUGUUAUAUUCCUAUUGUAAAACAAAAUUUUAGAUAAAACAAAUUCGACUCAUUUUUUAAAGGUAUAUAUUUAGUAGGUUACUAACAAAACUAACAAAACGUGAUUAUUACACUAAAUGAAAUAAAAGACAGUACUAUCACCAAUAAUUUAGCAAGUUUCGCAUGCAUGUGUUUCUAAAAACAUUAUAUGGAAUCAAACAACAGUGAUACAAAGAGAAAAGUGGAAAUCCUCUGAUUGUAUUUUUCUUUUUCUUUUUCAAAAGAAAUGGUGGGGUUGGUUUGUUUGCAAAGUUAUUAGCGUGGGUCUAUUUGUUUUUGUUUUAACUUUAUUAAUCAAUAAGCAAACGUGUAAUGAUUUGUAUAUAUCACUAGCAUCACAUUAUUGGGAGGUAUUGCGCUUAGUAUUCACAAUUUUUAUAAGAUGAAUUUGUAAGACUAAUUAAUUUUGAUGAAAAUGUAUUGUUACUAAGAUAUUAUUUAAUUCAUUAAGUUAACUUGAGGUAUUAAUAUUCACUAAUUGUGGUGCUGAUUAAUUUACUUAACUUGUCACCAUUUGCAAUUAAGAAUGAAGUUCAAUCAAUUUAUUGAGAAAAAAAAAUAAAGAUACCUUUUUUUCUUUAGAUUUUAAUUCUUAGGAUUUGAUUUCACGCUCUUUUAUUUUUUUACGUUGCUAAAGAGGCAGUAAAAAACUUGCUGAAUGUCAUCAAAUACUUUUAUCUCAUCUCACAAAUUGGUAAUAUUUGUUUGGUAUUUCAUCUCAACAGACGCAGUAAGGAUUACCUCUCCAAUGACUGACAUUUUUUUUUUUUUUUGGGGCAAAGAAAGAAACAGAAUUUUGAGUUUCGAAAAGCAAACUAAGAAAAUUGAGCAGCAAGUGUGAAGGGCAAGCAAAAUGCAUGUAGCAAGUCUUCCACUUGUUGUUUAUUCCAGUAAAGUGAAAAUAAAAACAGAGCCCACCACCCAUUAAUAAUUGAGCAAUUCACCAAUCACCAGUCACCACCACCCGUUACCGUAGGAUAAAAUUUUAUUUAAUUUAUUUUUUCACUGUAUUUUAUCUUAAAAAAUUAUUUACAGUAUGAUAAAAUUUUAUUUAAUUUAUUUUUUCAUUGUAUUGUAUCUUAAUUAAUUAAGUUGUUAUAUUUAUUGCAAAAAAUUUAUUUUGGCUUAGAGGAUUACUUCUUAAAUUCAGAUUAUUUUAAUGAUAAUAAAAGAUAUUUAUUUUGUGGAAGCAAAAUAAAUUGAAGAGAGAAAGAAAAUAUAAAUGACUUAACUCUAUUUAUAUUUGUCCUUAAAUAUAAUUGUAGUAUAAUAGGGGUUUUAUAAGAUUAAUGAAGGGGUGCCAAUAGUCCUACUCUUAUAGAAAAUGGCAAUAAAAAUAGUGGAAAUUUAGUGUAAUAAAAAGGAUAAACCAUAAGAAAUUAAUGUUUACAUCAAGAUACGUUAUAAAUAUUGUUUUUCUUAAGAUGUUAUUUGCCUCCACCAAUCGAAUAAUACACAUGAAUUAAACAAAUAUGACUCCAUGAUACAAUAAAGCGCUUAUUUAUUUGUUUAAGUUAUAUGUCGACGAAGCAAAUUUGAAUACUUUUGAAUGUUGUAAGCAUGUCAAGAAUCAAUAUAUUAUUUCUACAAAAAGAAACAAUAUAUUAGAUAUUUAAAGCAUAAAAAAUAGAUGUUAAUUGAUUAAAUUUGAUUUAGGAAAGAAGGCUACGAAAAGAGUGGUGUAAGGUCAUUUUAUUCAUGUCUACAUAGCCCUAUUAUUUGGGUUGUCAUUUUUUUAUAAUACUCCUUCAUGGCCAUUAGAUCAAACACUCAAAUCCCUACUAUAGCUAAUUAGCUUAUUGACCAGUAACUUACAGGAUGCCAUAAGGAUUACAUCUAUGAUGAUUGACCUUUUUUUUUUUUGGGUGGGGGUAGGGGGGAAGAAACCGAAUUAUGAGUUUAUGGAAAUUAGAGCAAAUAAGAAAGUGAAUUACAACAGAAUGAGUUUGUGAUUGUGAUAGGUCGAACAAGUCUAGAAAUCAAUUAGGCAAAAACCACCACGAAAGUUAAAAAGGAAAAAUAGCGCCCACCACAAAUAUAAAAUUGGAGGAGCUUAGGAUCAUGCCUUUGCUUUACAAAUUAAAUUAAAUAAAAGCCAAACCAAGAACCUUGCUUUUGCUUAACAUGAUUAAUUAGGCACUAUUUCAGAAAGAACACAAAAAUAAUAAACCCUUUUAUUGAUCUUAAAUGUCAAGAAUAAAGUAACAUUUUCUCCUCUUACCGUUUCUUCAGGUUCAUUUCAAAAGUUUGAAGAGAGUUUAUCCAUUCUUCUAAACUAAGAAAAAGAAAAUCAACAUUAUUGCUUUCUUCUAUUCUUGCUUUCUUCAGAUGUUGAAUAAAAAAAAAUAUAUUGUUAAAUAUGUAGGAAAAAAACAAACAAAGUGAGUUAAACAAAUAAAACCUAGGUAAAUUAACUGACGCAACACUGGAAAUCACAACUGAAAAUAUAGGAGGGAAAAGAAAAAUCGAAACAGAAAAUGAAACCCGAGGCCUGCACAGGACAAUUUCCUUAAAACAAAUUUACCACCUACUGAAGUGCUUUAGGUCUGCUGGUAACUGUUUCUCAGGAUACAACGAGCACGAAUUUUCGGUCAAUCACAUACAGGUAAUGUCGGCGAACUACAACAGUGGCAAACUCAAUAAGAAAAAACAAAUGAAAGAAGGAGGAAAGGAAAAUUUUCAAGUGCUCUGUGUGCUGGUUUCAGUGUGUAUAAAAAACAGAAGAGGAUGUGCUUUUUUAUACUCAUGUGAGGAUAUAACAGCAGCAUUGUAUUGAAUUUCGGAAUUCAAUAUAUGCCAUUAAAUAGUUAUAACAGCCAAUUCAAUUCCAUCAACUGAUUUCAAAAUUGAAUUCAAAACCAGUUAAAAAAUAAUUGUUGUGAAGUUGUUACAACAAAAAAUUCAAAGGAAAUUAAAAAUGUGCUAUGCAAGCUUGGAUGAUUUUGGACUGACAUUCGCGUACGCAGGACGCACACGAGUUUAACCAAAUCGGUCUUGGAUUUGCACCCCCUACGCACGCGCGUGUAGAGAGAGUCUCUAUCCUUAUAAUUAUUACUCAUGCAUGGUUAAAUGUUUAUAUAUAAACACUAAUCCUUGGGCUUCUUUUUCUCAUGUGGGAAAAGUUUCAUUUGCUUUCAAAUUUCCAACUUCAAUAGUGAACUUUGAGAGACAAUUUCUCAUUCACCCAAGCACUAUUUUGAGAAAAUAAAAUUAUAUUUUUGAAGUAUUAACAUAAUAGAAUCCAAACCUCACAAGAUUUCUCACUUUCGCUAAGUGAGACCCACUCAAAAUGUGCCCUCAAAAUAUCAUAUAGACAUGCUAUUUUUUCAACAAAAUAAGGAGGAAAUUAGAAUGUAUCUACCUUUGCUAACCUAAAAUAAAAGAAAUUAAUCUCUCUUUUAUUACUAAAGUACACUAUUUUUUUAAUAAUUGUAUUGACAAUGACAACAUGUAUCAUCGAUUAUAUUCUUGUUGUGUUGAAAUAAGAUAUAAAAAAUCUUGGAUCAAGAGGAAUUCGACUCAUUUGUUAAAGGUACAUAUUUUAUAUACUAAAAACAAAAAUUAACAUAACACGAUUAUUACACUAAAGUGAAAUGAAAGCCAGUACCCACCAGUUCACCAACAGUAAUUUAGCAAACUUUGCAUUCUCGUGUUUGAGGAAAUGGACAUUGGUGAAUUAACCAAAGGACCAAUGAAAGAAUUGUAAAUAACAAAAUGGAGAUUACACUUUUUUUCCAUAUAAUUGUUCAGGCAAUGAAACUAAUUUUGAGACAUUUUCAAAUAAACUUAUUUUCAAAAGCAAUACAAAAUGAUUUCGUUUUAUUUUGAAACAUUUCAUGGAAUCAAGUAGUAGUAAAAUAAAUAGAAAAGUGGUAAUUCCCUCAUUUUAUUAUUUUCUUUUUUAAAAGGAGAUGAUGGGGUUGGGUUGUUCACAAAAUUAUUGGUGCGGGGUCUGUUUGUUUUUGUUUUAACUUUAUUAAUUAAUUAGCGAAGCAAACAUGUAAUGAUUUGUAAAAGGAUUACUAGCAUCAGAUUAUUGGGAGGCAUUAUGGAGAAGUCACGCUUAGUAUUUACAAUUCAUGUAAGAUAAAUUUGUAGAUUUAUUAAGUUACUUGAGAUAUAUUUAUUAAUUGUGGAGAUUAAUUUAUUUAACUUGUCAUGAUUUUCAAUUAAGAAUGAAGUUCAGUCAAUUUAUGGAAAGAAGGAUAAUUUUGUUUUCAGAUUUUUAAUUCUUAGGAUUUGAUUUCACUUUGUUUCGAUUGUCGAUGUUGCUGAAGAGGCAGUGAAAGUUUGCUGAAUGCCAUCAAAUGCUUGCAUCUUAUCUCACAAAAUGUCAAUAUCAGUCUGUUUCCCUAUAGGCGCAACCAUCACGAAUUUAAAGUAACAACAUGAUGAGCAUAUAACAUAUACAUAUUUUACCAUUAAUUAUAUAAUUGUUAGUUAUUUUUAUUUAUUAUUUUUAAUUAAUUAAAUUAUUUUAUUAAAUAAGAAAUUAAUUGGAGAUUAUGGAUAAAAAGGACAUGAAAAAGUUUAAUUUGGGAAGCAAUAAAAAUUAAAUUGAAAGACAAAAAUACAGACAAGGAUUAAUAGAAUCCGUGCCGAAAAAAUCAAAGCACAAUGUUUUUCUUAAUGUCAUUAUUUAGGCAAGUGUUUUGAUGCACUGGAAGUUUAAGAGAAUAAAAUCUGAAGAAUUUAUUAAGAGAAUCAAAUAGAAAGUUUUGAUGCAGCGAAAAAAAUCUGAAGUUUGAAUUUUGCUCAUAUAGAUAGUAAGAGAAUCAAAUUAUUGUUAAAUUAAAUUAAUGAAAAAAAUUAUCUGAUAUCUAAAACAGCAUAUCAACAAAAUUGAAUUAAAAGAAAAUUGAAGAGAAAAACCAUUGAGAAAUUUCGAUAACUUCACUUAUUAAAACUUGGUUAUUUCAUUUUCAUUGAUAAUCAUUUUGACACCGGUCAAAUUUAAAAGUUUAAAUAAUGGGGGCGAUAUUUCUUUCCAGCUAUGCCCAUCGACUAAUUAAAAUACUGCCGAAACAAUUCAGGGAUAGUAUAGUAAUUUCAUUUAACAGUUUUCGUGCUUCAAAUCAUCAAAUCAAACUCACGGUUUCCGACUUGUAAUGGGUGCAACUCAUGUUUUUCAAACAUUAAUGUGUUUCAAACAUUAAGAUCUUUAGCCAUUCUGUUACUAUCCCGUGGUUAUUUAAGUUACAAGAGACAGUAAAAAAUAUCAUCAUAUUUUAACGUCCCUCGAAUAUUUGAAGAAGUUAAAAUUUAGGCGGUUUUAUAUAAGAUGUAAUAUAAAUUGAUAUCAGUAAUUAUAUGAUUGUAAAUAUCAUGAUCAAUAGUCUCUUAUAAAAAAAAAAAAAGAACAAGUGUCAUGAGCCCAUUUAGAUUAACUUAUAUUUGAGGGGGAAAUCUUUGUACACCAUGGUAUAUAUUAUAUAUAUAGACAUUGAUGAAUUCGCACAGUACAACUAAGUAUUUUUUUUUUUUGAAUACUGGUUACACACCAGAUUACUGGCAAUUGCUAUUAUAGCAGACAUUACACUGAUAUUUACAAUCAAAUAUACAUAAUUGAGACUUAUAUUAUUACAUUAAAUUCUAUGAAGUACAUUUCCAAACAAAUAACCCUUAUAGAGCAGAGAUGUCCUUGCUCCACUCGCAUUUCGCAGGGAGAAGAACUUAUAAAAAUUUAGCCCCCACAAUACUUUUGUGGAGGGUUGAACCGCUGCUCUCACGCUUGUGAGGGCAGCAGUCCAACCCGCAGACCAAGGGCCCAAUGGCGUACAACUAAGUAAUUGCAUGCGCCAUUUGUGCCAAUGUGUAUAUAAAUAUAUAUAUAUAUAUAUACACCCUGCUUGCAUUGCAUUAACUACGUCCCUAGUCACCCACGUCCGCUACUUGUAUGAAUGUGCAUAUAAAUAUACAUAUCCGCAGUGUUAGGAAUUUAGAUCUAUUAGAAAUAGAUAUAGGUAAUUAAAAAACCAAAAAUUAAGAACUUCAUUUUUUUUGGAAGUACUAUUCACGGUUACUGUUCACGACUACUGUUCAUCAUCAUAAAAAAUAUUAAUUUUCAAAAACAUAAUAAAAUGCAGAAAAUAAAUGACACAGAGAUUUUUACGUGGUUCGAAUUAACCAAUCAUACAUCCAUGAGGCCACGCCCAGAUGAAAAGCAAUUCAUUAAGUUGAGAUGUUACAACCUAUGGAUUUACCAAACUUAAGACUCUCAUUUACAGUUUAUCACCAUACAGUUUACUCAACCUUAGAAUGAAUCUGCUUCUCUUGAAUAAUCACUACCCCUCUUGAUCCGCGAUCUUCAAGGCACUUCGCAAAGUGAUCAAUAGCAAUUCUUCAAUUCUUCAAUGUCUAGUGAUACAAGAUACACAUAGACUCUCCAUAGAGAUUAACAGAAGAUGAGAAAAAAAAUCAACACAACAUGAUGCGCCAGAUCCGGAUUCUUUGGGGAGGAGGCCGAAUCUUACUUCUCUGCUUUAUGCUCUGCGUUAUAUGAUCUUCAAUUGUGAAAUACCUCUCUUUAUAUAGGCACUAGAGUUUUACCAAAAUAGCAAGUCUUAAAAGACUUGGAUUCUUUCCAAAUAAGAGUUGCAUUCCUCUUAUAAUUCCCAUGAAUCUGAAUAGGAAUAAAUCUAACCUUCUUACCUUGCUUGUCUCCUAAGAAAUAUUUAGAGCAUUUAAUGAACUCUCUGUUUGAACCAACUUCUUGCUCUAAAUAGAUCUCAUGCGCUAAAUAUAAAAUCUCACCAUUAAUUAACUUGCUAAAUUAAACAUCUAAUUAAAUUAAGAAACAAAUAUUCCUAAUACUAAAUUAGUGAAUUAAUAAAUUAAUCCAUAUUACAAUAUAUGCAAUAAAUAAAUUUUCAAUUUAACUAGACUUGCCAUAAAAUAUCAACUUUAUAAAUAUUGGACUUAACACGCAGCAUAUUAUCAAACCAGAAUCAGAAGCAACUUAAGUUUUGAUUACGGUUCACCGGAAGUCACAGCUAGCAAGUGAUCCUUGCAUCAUUUUACUAAAUAUACAAUGAAAUUAACCCCCGCAAUUUCGGCCUUUGCCAUAGUCGUUUUGUUUAUUAGGUUUAUGUUUAUCAACAUGAUUGUCAACCAUAAUCACAAUCAAGUUGUUAAUUAUUUUUAAAUAAUGUGAAGGAACAAGAUUUUGGUCUUUGAAUGUGGAGUUAGAAAUAUCUCACCUCAAUAUACGGUAUUGUGCUCUCAUCAUCUUAACAUUAUUUGUUAAAAAUUAUGUCAAAGAGGAAAGCAGAUUCAAACAUUACUUCAAUUUUCUUUAAGAGCAUCAAAAAAUCGUUAAUAGGCUACUGUUAUUUGAUAGUACGAUUUCACAAAAGGAAGCUGGAGGAAGAUGAAGCUUUCAAGUCAUGUGUGCAUCAAAGUAAGAAACAGAGCUAACGAGAGAUGGACAAGUAUUAACCACUGUUAUCAGAAAUUAAAUAUAUCAGCAUUUUGUUAUAUCAGCAGAGACGCGUGUACGUAUUGCUUGUGACAAAUCUCACCCAUGGAGAACUUUGUGGACGGCAUUUGAAUGUGUGGCCUCAUUUAAUGAACGAAACGAUAACUUUAAAAGAAAGUAUGUACUGUGUUAAUUAUUAGGCUUUAGCUUAAUGAUUGCAAUUAGUUUGUCUUGUAAUUAAAUUAUUGCCGACAAACACUAUCACGACCGACGUCCACUACUUGCGUGAAUGUGUGUAUAAAUAUCCACAGCAUAUUAUCAAACCUGAAGCGUGAUCAUCUUUAAGUUUUGGUUACGGUUUAUCAGACGUUAGAAAAUAUCUUUUCUAAUUUGAAGAAGAUGGAAACUCCUUAUCCAGGUUCUUAGGUCAUGUUCAGUUGAAUGUUAUUUAUAAUUUUUAUUUUAACAUUAUGUAUUUAUAAAUAUAAUUAUUAUUAUGAUUUUUUCAGGUAAGAAUGGAUGGUCUGAAAGUAACCCAAUAAUUAUGUACAAUAUUAUUAAUGAUGCGAGCGUGAAUAAAAAUUUGGAUUUUAUUCUCGUCCCUCAAUACGGAAGAAAUCUUGACCAUAGAGGCUAAGUGUUAUGUAACUCUUUCGUAUGUAUUAUGUUUAAUUAAUAAUAAAAUGAUGGGUUAUUAUUAUGUCAAUUAUGUGAGUGUCUUUGUUUGGUUUAGUUCAACUUAUAAAAUCUCUUGAGAUAUUUUCUUUAUUUAAUUUUGUGUACCGUGUCUUCUUGUAAAAAGAAAUUAAUAAAAAAAAUAUCAUUGUGUAUAAUGUAUUAACUAAGUUAGUGUAUUCAUGUUAGGUUAAUUGUGCUCUCUCUUCUUCAUAUUUUUUUUUUUUAAAAAAAAACUCCACAUAUUGUUGGUUAGCUAAUUCUUGCAGCUAGCAAGUGAUCAUUUUCUUUCCCCUACUGCCGUAGCAUCAAAUCCUUGCAAUUACAUAUCAAGUGGUAUUCGAGCCGUCAAAUGAUCCAUGGAAACAAGCAACAAAUCAAAUGGUGAAUUUUGCGAAGAGAUUCACGAAAUCCUUGCUAUACAUGAGUCUAGUUUUGACCCAGUUCACAUCACCCAUCAGCUGCGGGUUUGAAUGGUACCUAGUGGAUAUUUUGUGAGUCCCCACGUAUAAAAUCACACUUGCAACAAAACCUAAAAACUUAAAUUACGUAAUUCAAAUUAUAAAUUUAUAAUCAUAGCCUAAAAAACCACACAAAAUACUUAAUUCUAGAUUUUAUCAAUGUAAAUGAAAAAUGAAAGUUUUAAUAUUAAAAUAAACUCACAAAAUAUAUCAAUUUAACACAAAUUUUCAAAGUUAAUUACUAAAUACAUAAGUCUAUCGCAACUCAAAGUGCUUUCAAUUGAAAACGAAAAAAGAGAAAGAGAAUAAAAAAUAAAGAACUACAAAUCAAAGUAGCAGCCAUGUCUCAUUUUGCAGUCUCAUUCAAUACCACUAGCACCCAUCCAACACGAUUUUUCUAAACAAAGUAUCAAGUACAAAAUUACAAUAAGCAUAUCAUACUCCAUGCUUUAAGUUAAAGAUCCUUAUAUAUUUUUAUGAAUAAUUUUUUAAUGAAAUUUUAUGAUUAAAAUUAAAAAUACAAACAUUCAAAUAAGAAUGUCGGACACUUGCACAACUAUUUACCAAAUUUUUUCUCUAUAAAAAUCGACCUGCAACUUUCAAUAGGUUUAAAUUUUAUAAUACCAAACCUGAUUGCAGCUCGCAAAAAUUAUCCGUUGCGGCCAAGACUUUGGAUUUGCGAUGAUUUUGCCACCCUAAGUGUAGUUAGUAUUGUAUAUCAUGUGGCUCUUAUAAAAAGCUUAGAAGUUGUUUGAAUAACGGGGGAGACACAUAUCUCCCAAAGAUUUUCUCUUUUUCAAAUUAUUAUUUUUUCUCUAUUAUUGUAACUUCGAAUCCUUAUAAAUUACAGAUUGGAAACAUGAACACAAUGUUUUGACAUAGUAGACUUUUGGCUUGUCCAGAGAAAUUUAGGAUAGAUUUUUACGCACUAAGGUGGCGUUUGUUUUUUUGUCUGAAAUCUGAAUAGACUUGAAUUAGUCUGAAUUCUGAACAGGUCUGAAUGUUUGAAUCUGAAUAAUAUGUUUGUUUUUUCAUCUGAAUCUUGAAAAAUAAGUAUUAAGUUGUUUGUUUUUUUCAACUUAAAAAGCUAAAAAUAUGUACUUUUACAUUUGUAUCCUUAUUAAAUUUAAAUGUCAAAUAAAUAAUAUAUUAAAUACCACAAUAUUUUAACAUUUAUAAGUAAAACUAUAUUCAAGUGAAUACAUAAUUAUUUUAAAAUUUUAAUAUAUAAAAUACCAUAAAUUUCAAAUUUUAUCGUAUAUAAUAUAAGAAAGAAAAAACAGGGAUAUUUUUAUGUGGGGUAAAUAUCUAUGGGUGAGUUUUGGGAUAGACAUGAAAAAUAAAUUAUAAAACAGGGAUAUUUUUGACAUUAGCAAGUAAUUGACUUAAUUCAGAUUUCUCCAUUAAGUAAAAAGCUAAAAAAAAUUAGCUUAUUUUAUUAAGUCAAAAUUAUCUAAAAAGUCUCAUUAAGUUAUAAAAACAAACACCUCUAAUUAACUUAAUUAAUUAAGUUAAGUCACUUUAAGUCAUUAAGUUAAAAAACAAACGCCACCUAAGACUCUAUUUACUUUUGAGGUUUUAGAACUUUUAAGCAACACUAGAAAUUUGUAUUGUUUUGAUAGAGUUGUAGUCUUUGAUAUGUGAUUGGUAUUAAUCAAGUGUUAUGUUUACAAUAGUUAAAACACAUAUUGAAUCAAAAUCCACUUCUAAGGGCUUGAUUGAGUGAUUGUAAAGUAGGUUUUUAGUUUGCUAGCCACUCAAGUUCAAAUAUUGGAACCACAUCGCUUUAUAGCCAAGUGAGAGAACUUGUGCCCUAAAAAUUGAGGGGUGCAUAUCGAGUUUUACCACCAAUAAAAGUUGGUGUUAAAACUUUAAUUUCUCUCCUAUUGUGGAUAGGGGUAAUUAGGAGUUUACAUCCCCUCCUAUUAAUAGAUAGGGGUUAUUAGGAAUAUUAAAAAAAAGUUCAAAUAUUGAAAAUAUAGGUAUGUGUUAUAAAAUUCAUAAUAUAAAGACACAAAAUCAAGAUAAAUAUUUAAAAAUUUAGAACCAUAAGAGCGUGACUUGUAAGUUUCAAAAAAGUAUGUGCAAAUAUAUGCAUUAUUGAUACCCCAAUUAAGGGUGGGCAUUAAGAAAAAAAAUCCCAAAAAAUUAAAACUAACCCUAACUAAAAUAUUCGACGGCGGCCUCCUCGUUUUCUUUUCUUCUUCUUCCUCCUCUUGCUCACCCUCAAUGCCCAUUCAUGGAAAUCCAACAGCUCCAAACGCGUUUCAGCCGCUCGCACGUGUGAGAAAUUUUCCUUCUCAUAGGAUUAUUCGUUUCCUUCGCUUGCAUGCCAGCAGAAUAUUCAGGCCGAGGAUUUUUCCGGGCCUAGCCCAACUAUAAGCUCUCCCAAAACCCAAUCAUAAAGUUCAUAACGUUUAGCGUUUGCUUUUACUAUAAUUUUUUUUAACCAAUUUUCACAUUCAUCAACAUAGGCAGACAGAUUUUGUAGAAAAUAAAAUUAAAUAAAAAUACAAGAUCACGAAAAUUCCUUUUCCGAUGUGGGAAUCUAUCUACACCUUUCACGUACCUUUUUUUUUUUUUUUUGUGGUGGGGGAUUCACUUGCUUUUGUUUGCAUUGCCUUAUUGGAUAAAAGUUUGUAGAACAUCGUCUGUUUGGUUAAAGCCGAGCAUGAGUGAAGAAAAAUUAAAAAUAAACAAUUUUCCAUUAAUUUGCAACAAGUAUUAAUAAAGUGCAUGAGAAAAGACACCAGGAUAUGUCUUUUUUCAAAUGAAAAUAAAUGUGUUAAUUAGUCAAUUUAAAUGGUAUGACAUUUUGAAAUGACAGAAGUGAUCUAAAGUUUAAAUCUUACUCACAAUUACUUUAGGGUUGGGGAUUAAUUGACCUAAUAUAUAAUAACGAAUUCGAAAGACAAUUAAAAAUUAAAAGAAAAUAAAAAAGUACUUUCUUUUUUAUGAUGGUAAUUUGUUUAGAUGAUGAAAACUCUUAGAGUGGUAUUAUCAUUACAUAGUUUCGAGCGUUGCCAACGUGAAUAAUAUUUAAUUUCGUUUAUAUAGUUAUAUCUCAACUAACAUUUAAACAGAAGUAAGCUGUAAAAAAAAAAUGAACCAUUGAGAUUUGAGAGAACGAAAAACUAAAAAAAAAAGUUAAAAAAUUAGAUCUCAAUAAAUUUACUUGAGAACUACUUUACUUAUUAGUGACGAGAAAACACAAAGAAUAAUGAUGUAUCUCAAUUAAUAAGACAGUUUUUGUAUUUUUCAUUUAUUCAAGAAUCACGAAACUUCAUUGAAAUUUGUUAUUUCAUUGAUAAUAUAUUAAUAUUGAACAAUUAAUGUAGGAGACAUUCCUUUUCAAUUAUACCCAUAUAUUAAUUAAAGACUACCAAAAAGUUCAGGGAUACUAUAGUAAUUUAAGUUAACAAUUUCUGUGCUUGAAAUCAGCCGAUCAAACUCACUUUAAAAUAAACUGAGAAAUCAAAAUCACAUUCUCCGAUUCUACGAUUUCAAUUCAUCUUAUUUCUUCAACUGAAAAAUUGGUUAUAUUUCGUUUUAUUUUAUUUUUAUUUUUAUAUAAAGAUAAAUAUAAAAUAUUUUUUUGAUUACAUGAGACUAUUGCUCAAAUUACAACUCAUAUUACAUGAGAAUAUAACUGAUAUGUACAAAUCAGACUAUAAUUAGGACCAACAUACAUCAAAUCUAAUGGAGCGUUGCCCAAAUUUUAACCCUCUCAAAUAUUCGAGGGAUGUCUACUUCUCGCACUGAGACAAAAAAAUAGACUGCCUUCACUCAAUUUUAUUUAAGAAAAGAAAUACUCCCACAUACAUUGUGGGGGCUCGAACUGUUGCUCUCCAACUUGGAGAGCAGCAGCUCUCACCACUCGGCCAAAGGCCGAGUGGCUGAUUUAUAUUUUGGCCGAGUGGCUGAUAAAUAUAAAAUAUAAAUGAAGAGGAAACUGUUAAAGUAAAAUCAAAAGAAGGACACGAGUUUUAUUGAAAAUGACUCUUUUCAUCAUUUUACCGGAUUGAAUGUAUCUACAUAUAAACUAAAGAAGCACAUUUGUUUCCGACUCUACGCUUUAAAUUUAGCUUCAUUUCUUCAACUGAAGAAUCGGUCGUCUCUCAUUUUUUAUUUAUUAUAUAAAGAUAAAUAUCUAAAUUUAAAUGGCGAGAAGAGCGGACGAGGAAUACGAUUACUUGUUCAAAGUGGUAUCAAUCGGCGAUUCGGGAGUCGGCAAAUCGAACUUACUCUCCCGAUUUACUCGUAACGAGUUCUGUUUGGAGUCGAAAUCCACUAUUGGCGUCGAAUUCGCCACCCGCACUCUUCAAGUAACUAACUUUUCCUCUUUCACUUCUCUUCAUUUUUAUUAGUUAAUUAAGAUCCAGCUAAUGUAAUUAAUUUUAUUUAAUCUUUUAAAUAAAGUUCUAGAUUAGGCUAACUUAGAUUCAUGUGAAGUUGAAGUGAUUUACUUUCGAUCUCUUUUUCGUCCUAUGUUUAUUUGUACUUACUAUUACUUUUUUUUGGGUUUAAAUUUUCGUUUUUGAAGUGUUUACUGAAUAAAUUUCUGAGCUUUAUUUGUGUAUGCUGAUUGAUUUGUGAUUUUAAUUUUGUGACUUUUUUUUUGGAAUUUAAAUUUGAAUGCUUUUUAAGUUGAAUCUGAUUGUGUUGGGCUGCGAUUUAAUUAAGUCAUCUGUGAGCGCCAAGUUGUGAUAGCUAUAUAUUGGGGUGAAAAUUUGGGAUUUAAAGUUAUGUAUUUAAGAUGCAGUUAAUUCGCAAGUGAAAAUUAUGGGCCGGCAGAUUUUGUCAUUGGAAGACUGUUCUCCACAUGUUGAAGUUAGUGAUGCAAGUUGAAACCAAUCUGUUUAAGCUUGGGGUUUCAUGUCUUGAAUCAAGGCUGUGACUUGGGGUGGGUUGAAAGUAUUAUAGCUUUAGCUAUUCCUGAAGUGAUCUGUUUAGACUCACCGUGAUGAGACCGAGUGCUGUACAGUAAAAUGAAAGGAAGUUGGAAAAUAUUUACUUAGCAUUUCGCGUUACUAAUGUUGAACUAAUAAAACCUAGCCCCUAUCCUAGUGAAUUUAUGUUAAAAAGCUAUGCACGCAUUAAGUUAGUGCGAGAGUCUGCUGAAGCAUAUGCCAGCUGUGUGUUUGGAGCUGAGUAUUCUUCAUUCCACAUUUUGGGUUUUGGUUGACCUCCAGCAUGACUCAACCCACUUGAGUUAAAAGCCCUAGAGUUACAUUCUACCCAUGAUAUUUGAGUUUAUCAAGUCACCUUAUUUUAAUACUUCUCUGGAAAACAAAUAUAUAUGUUAAAUCAGGUAGGAAAAAUAAAAAGUUAAUUAUUGAGUUGUAAUGGUGCAACUAAGGUUUUGAAACAUUAAGAUCUUUAGCCAUUAUGUUACUAUCCCGUAGUUAUUUAAGUUACAAGAGAUAGUAAAAAAUAACAUCAUAUUUUAAUUACUUACACUAAUCCUACAAGUGCUGAUGGUCUAAAGUUGCUGCUGCUUGCACUGAAUCAGUGGUCAUGGGCCAGCCAAGGUUAGGUGAGGCCAACUCAUUAGCUUGUGAAACUUAAAGAAGUCUUAGGUUUGGAAAAGAUGGGGCACAGGUUACAAAAUUUUUUUUGAGUUUUGGAUUGAAGGAACAAAAUUGUUGAUGUCUAGUUCACAAUAUUUGAAGUCACUCUGUGCUUCAUCAUGUAAAAUGGAUUGAAUUGCUGUAUGAUCAGGUCAAAUUAAAAUGUUUAAACUCAUUUUUAAGAAACGAAUUCUCAAUUGGACCAGCCUUUCACAGAAGCUGAUAUCACAGAAGCUUUGAGUCAGAUGCAUCCAACCAAAGCCCCUGGCCCAGAUGGUCUCCCAGCAGUAUUUUUCCAAAAGCUUUAGAAUUCAGUAAGCGAAGGAGUUAUAGCCACUUGUCUGCAUAUCCUCAAUGAUGGAGGUAAUAUUGCUCCUUUGAAUCAUACAUACAUUGCUUUAAUCCCCAAGAUAGCAAAACCUAGGACUCUGAUGGAGUAUAGACCAAUCAGCAUAUGUAAUGUAAUUUAUAGGAUCAUUGCAAAGACUAUAGCGAAUAGGCUGAGGCUAAUCUUAGAUCAUGUUAUUUCGCCAACUCAGAGUGCUUUUAUGCCAAAUAGGCUCAUAACUGAUAAUAUAAUUAUUGGGCAUGAGUGUCUUCAUAAGUGGACAAAGCUAAGUUCCAGAGGUGAGAUAGGAAAUUCUCCCGCACGACACAGCAGAAACAAACUUUCCCUUUCAUUUUCUUUUCUCUUUCUCGCUCUCCAAACAGAGCAAAAGGACUGUCGCAAGAUUCUUCACUUCCAUCCAAAAUCAUGAGCAACGAAUGGUGAGCCUCCCUGUUUCCUUCCUUUUUUUGAUAUUAACCUUGUUAACAUAUACUCAUUUUAAUUUGACAAUACUUCAACUUUUUUUAAUUUUUUGCCUUUUCAUUUUUUUUGUUGAAGCAAUUAUCUGUUCAAGCUGUUGCUUAUCGGAGACUCGUCCGUCGGAAAGUCCUGCCUGCUGCUCCGAUUUGCUGUCUGUUGACUUUUCCUUUCCCUUCUUAUUUUCUUUUUUUAUAUUAAUUACUUUCUAUUUUAGCUUUUUGUUCUCUUAAUUUGUGUUAUUAAAAUGAUAAUUUAGAUAAUAAAUAAUUGUUAUUCUUGUAAAUUUCUGUUUUCAUUACGUUAAUUGUUAGCUUUUAGGUUUAUUAAUGUAAUUUUUUUUUUUCAAUUUUUCAGGAUGAUUCUUAUGUCACAGCUACAUCAGUACCAUUGGAGUUGAUUUUGUGAGUCUCUCUUCUAUAUAUAUGUAUAUAUGUGUAUAAGUUAUAAUAUGAGUCUAUGUACGUGUAUGUAUGUAUGUGUAUGCAUAUGUGGAAAGAAAUGUUGGCAGACUUCAGCAUUUUACUCUUUUCUUUUUUUGGCAGAAAAUAAGAACUGUGGAGCUGGAUGGGAAGACGAUCAAACUGCAGAUUGUGAGUCAAAAUUUCCUUUUAUCUUGUAUUGAGAGAAAUUCGAUUUGUCUUAUUUUCUUUGUUUGAAGAGUGAUAUGUUGAAAUGAGUGUAUUUGUCUUAUAAACAUCAUUUAGGUAAUGUCUUCUGUUUGAUUGUUUUUCAUCUGUUUAGUGGGACACUGCUGGACAGGAGCGAUUCAGGACUAUAACUAGCAGUUAUUACCAAGGAGCCCAUGGAAUCAUAGUAAGGAGCCUUCCCGGUUCUUGGUUUAAAUCAGAAAGUUUGUGAUUUACAUGUGACAUCUUAACAGCAUUGUAUGUGUUUAUUAACUUAUUUUUCAUCUUUCAUUAAGCAGUACACUUUCUAUUAAAUCUGUAUACAAGAUGAUGUAGUCCAAGAAUGGGAGCCAUAAUAUGAUGCAAAUUGUCUAAUAAAUUCUUAUGACAUAUGAUGUUGUCGGAAGUAAAAGUCUUGCAAUGCUGUAUUCUCUUUUAAGAAAGAAUAAGUGGUAAUUUUGUUUUUCCAAUUUUUUAAUUGAGCAACUGUAUGAGAUUAAUUAAAUGUGUUGGGAUUUCAACAGAUUGUUUAUGAUGUAACUGGGAUGGAGAGCUUCAAUAAUGUCAAGCAGUGGUUGAAUGAGAUUGACAGAUACGCAAAUGACAGUGUAUGCAAGCUUCUAGUUGGGAACAAAUGCGAUUUAGUUGUGAACAAGGUUGUGGACACACAGACAGCCAUGGUAUAUUCAUGACUUUUGUCGCCUGAACUUUGAAUAUAAUUUUAAACUCUUCUCAAGUGCAUUUGCUUGGUAAGUUUCUGCAUACCCAGGACACUCAAACUUUGGACAGUCUGUAUCUCGAGUUGGAAUCUUUUCUGUCAAUACGACUUGUUAAAAUAAGGGUUGUUAUCGUUUGAAUCAUUCAAGAAUUGCCAUAAAUCUAAAGUCCAUAAAAAAUAUGAUUCCAUCAUUUUACUAUUAUAUCUAGACAAAACCCAUUAUUUUACUACAUUUCAUUGGCACCGAUAGUUGACCUGUUGGCUGACUGAUAAAAUAUCAAUUUUGCACUUUAUAUUAAUUCUUUUUUGGUUAAAAAAUAACACACAAAGUAUUACAAUAUUAUAAAUUCAAAAUAUAAAGUAGUUACAAAUAAUUCCUAUUAGCCUAUGAAUAUAAUAUUUGAUACCUCUAUUUGUGUAAUUUUUUUCCAAUGGUGAAAUUGUUAUUUUUUUUGUACUAACGGAAAUAUAGUAAAAUCAUAAGUUUUGUAAAGAUAUAGUAGUAAAAUGAUAGACUAAAAUACUUCUUGUAGUUGUUUGAUAUAUUGUAAUUCUUAAAGUAGUCAAUUGAUAAUAUCCCCUAAAAUAAAUGUUCGUAAUAUGUUCUCAUUUUAAUGCAACUGAUUGUUUAAUAAAAUUGUAUUUCUUUGUUAAUCUUUUAUCAUGUGCAUGCUCAGUGAGAAUUUGACUUGCUAGAACACAAGUUUGACUCUUCAUUUAAAUGUCUCUUGUAUCAUAUCCUUCAAUGUUGAGUGUGAUUCCAAUAAAAUUGAGUAGGGAGAUCCUUAAAUACCUUUUCCUUUUUUCCAAGGGCCUGCCAAAUUGCUCUAAGUGGUUCUACCCUUUAUCAAUGAAUAAUGAAAAUAAAAUUUUUAUUAAAGCAUUCUGUUCCUUAAAUGGUGACUAAUAGUACCCCCUUUUUUUUUGGAGAGGAAAGCCAAACGCCCAAAGAGGAUCAUUUACUUUCCUCUAAUGUAUUUUCUAAUUCGUUUUGAGCCUUGAAUGUCUGUUUUGGUGCGUAUUCUCAUUCCAUGUCGAAUCUUAUCCAUAUGGACAACCCCACUUACAAAAAAGUCUAAUGAAUCUAUUGAAGUUCAUAUGAGGUUUGUGCUUUAGAUUUAGACCUCUCUCUCUCUCUCUCUCCACUUACAUGUCUUUCACUUACCUGUUUGCAUGCAUGCCCAUGCACACACUUUCAAGAUAAUACACGGUCACUCGUACUUGUGUUUUGGUUGAAUUACUGGCUGCUAACCUCUGUAAUUCAGUUUGAAACUUGCCACCCUUAGUGCUUCACUCAAAUGGUUGGUUAGGGUGAGAUCUGUAUCGUUUUCCUGGUCUCUUUCCAAGGUUAUCUAAAGGGAUUUGGCAGUCUGAUUCUUUAGGGAAUAUCAUUGCAUAAGAUAUCUAUUGUUUGUUAAUGAAUAAUUUCUAUUUAACUAGUUAUCUAUAUAAAUUGGUAAAUUUUAACUGCAUAAUUUGCAUGCAAUAAGAUUUUAUAAGAAUCUUGUUUUCAACUCAUGACUUAGACUAAUGUGAUACGUUGAGCAUUAAGCUACAAGAUCUGCACAUCAAAGUGCUUCACCAUGUUAAGGAGAAAGCAUCGUUUUCUGCUUCUUCAUGUGAUUUAAAGUUUCCAAGGUACUUAUCCAAUAAAAUGUCUUUCAAGACUUUGGAAAUGCUUUUAUGUAUGACUGAGAGAAACUUGUUGGGUUGGUUUUUAGCAACAGACGGAGUUAUGGACUUUGUGUUGACUUGUUAUUGAUUAAGACAGUACAUCGGCUGAUCUAUUGGCAUCAAGCAGCAGAUGCAGAAAUUAUGGGUGGCAUACCAUUGUAUCCAAAUAACAUACUACAUUGAUUUUUCUGACUUUCUGUUGGUCUCCGAGUGAAAUGCAGGCAUUUGCAGAUGAACUGGGGAUUCCUUUCCUGGAGACGAGUGCCAAAGAUGCAAUCAAUGUGGAGCAGGCUUUCUUGACCAUGGCCGGCGAGAUUAAGAAAAAGUAAAAUCACUUAACUCUUUCCUUCUUUCCGACUGUUCUUAUUCAACAAUCACCAUUAUUGCUGGUUAUGUGCAUUGUGAUGAAAAUUCUGCAAUGAAUAACUUUUUACCUAAUGUUUUCUGUUGGAACAAAUUACUCUGGUAGAAAAGCCCUACAGGGUUUGAGAAAUCCCAUGAUGUGAUGAUUGUGAGCAUUUUAGACACCGUGUAUGGGUUUAUUUUGUGACUAUAAAAUGUUAAGAUAUUUCUAGUUUUGGUUUGUAGUGCAUAAAAGGAUUCAAAAUUUGACAUCUGUCUAAAUCAGAUUACUAACAUGACAAUGUACAUAUGCAAGAUGUGAGGAAUUGUUUUAUCUCACCCCUAAACUUUAAGAAAUUGAAACAUUAUUAUUCAAAAUAUUUAACAUUUCCAGAAUUGAUAGUUGUCUAUUUGAGCAGUGACUGGUGGUUAUCAUGAACUGAUGUGUGGUUGUGGUUUCAAAUCUUGGUGAAACCUGUUGUCAUAUGCUGAUUAACAUAGCUAGUCUCUGAAACAAUUUGUUGAUUCACUAAUUAUGAGUUCAAAUUUGAUGCAGAAUGGGCAACCAGCCUACUGCAAACAAAUCUUCUGGAACAGUUCAGAUGAAGGGAUAGCCAAUCCAGCAAAACAGCAACCGCUGUGGUUAGCCGAGCAUCUUAUUUUACUUCUACAUGUUAGCUGACUGAUUGUAGACAGUUUUAACUAUGUUGACUGCAUUAUCUUAUGAAUCUUUUAAUCUGUCAAAUAUUUAUUUCCUGCUUUAAGUUCUUUCCCGUUUAUAACAAAUUUGAUUUCUUGCUCUAUAGCAUUCCAAAUUCCUGUUAAUUUACGAGGGAAAAAGAAAAGAGACGAAAUGGGAGAAAAUGGUCAAAUUUGUUAGGGGGGGAGAGCUGUUGAAGUAGUUUUUGUUCUCGUUUAUCAUCGUGACCCUCUUGUCGCUUAUCUACGACCUGGAAGUCCGGUCAUAUCGGAUGGGUAAAGUUACCGAAACGGCAUCAUUUUGGGUGAAAUAUCAUGUUUAUGUAACACUUUUGAUAAUAUUUUUAUGCAACAAAAAAAUGUUUGCAGUACCCUUCUCACAUUGUGAAGCGCAUGAUCGGAUGAGAGCAGUCUGGAUUCUGGCAUCACAAGCUAAUGCUUUGAUUUGCUUAGUUUGUUUUUUGUUUCUGAUAUUUUCUCGGCAUAGUGUAAAUGUAUGAAGAUG
rnacentral:lncRNA from 1 species